rnacentral:lncRNA from 1 species
UGAUGACUAGUAAUAGUACUUGGUCUUAUUAUUCUUAUAUAUUCUUAUUUUAUUAUGCAUCCAAGAUAAUCUAUUGGGGUUUAAGUUCUUGGGAAUUACUAUCAGUAAUCCCAAUAGUUUCAUCUUCAGUUUCCUUGAUCAUCAUCUCAAGGUGCAUAUCAGUACCAAUAUCAGCAUACUCAGUUGGCAUUUUGUCCCAAUCUAGGGUUGGCUCCCAAUCAGCCUUUUUUAUUACAUCUUUGAUUUUAUCAAACAAAAUCUUACUUCCUUCUGCCGUUAAAUGCAUUCCAUCCCUGCACAAAUAAAAUUCAAACUCCACCAUUUAAUAUUAAAUUCUUUCAAGAAUACUUUAACGCACAAUUGUUACGAUUUUAAGGUAAUUACGUAUAUAUCUCUUAGUAAGUACGUAUUAUAAAUUAGUAUUUCAUAAAAAAGGAAAAUAACAUCUGUUUAUUUUUAAAAAUGCUUUUUGUUAAAGUAUUUUUCUAACAAAUAUUUUUUAAGAGUAACAAUUUGCAAAAUACGUUCGUUAAUUAGUGUUUGAUCAAGGUUCCAAAAGUUUCUAAAUACUCUUUUUUCUUAACUAACUUCUAAUAUACAGUUUCUUAUACUACUCACAAGGAUUUUGUAGACACAUUUUAUGCACUUUUAACUUCUCAAAACUUGACUAAACAGACCGAAAUUCACUAAUUAUGUAAAAAAAAAAAAAGGACAUUGUCGGAGCACAUAUAUACUGCUUAGUUUCCUUUUGUUCAAAAAGAAUUAUGAUAAUAUUAUUGUUAAUACUACAACUACAACAUUACAAUAAAACCAAAAUUAAAGAGUACUAGUAGGAAAUUUGAUUACCAAAAGACACCAGGUUUUCCGUAAAGGGCUUCGAAGAAAUUGAUAACUGGAACGCCUAAUUCUUGGCCUAAUUUAACACCUUCUUCUGCGUAUUUUCGACCGACCUCAUUUGAUCUACCUCGGUUAUCCCUAAUCAGAACAGAAAUAGGUAUAAAAUAUCAGUUAUCUCUUUUUUUUAAAAUUGAAUAAGAAAAAAUAGGUAUGUAUUUUUAUUUUAAAUGAGCAAGUAAACAUGAAAGGAGUUAGUAAUUGUUGAGAUUAAUCACCCAUAGGUUUUAAGAAUUUGUUCCUCAUUAACUGCAGGAGCACUAAGCAUAAUUAGACGAGUCUUCUCUGAAAGGCCCUGCAAGUAAAGGGUUUCAAAUAAUGAUAAGUUUAUAACUGUUCCAUAUAGAUAAAAACUUUAACUUGUUUGCAUUCGAUAUUUAUAUCAAAAAUAAAUAUGUAUAAUAUGUGUUUUCACAUAAAAUGAUAAAUUAUUGUAAAUUAAUAAGCAUUGAAGUACUUAAUUAUAGUAAAUCAAUAUGAUUUGAUGUAAAGGUGUACCUAUUUAAUGCGAAUAAGUAUUUAUUUGUCAAAUUUUAACUUUAAAGGUUUCAUACAUACCUUGAUAUGAUGUGCAAGCUUCCUCAUGUUUUCAACAUAUUCAUGAAGAGGAACAUGACUACUAUUAGGAAAAUCGGGAUCUUGUGAAUCAUUUCCACCAAAAUAAAGUAUGACAAGAGAAGGUUGAAUUUCCCUAUGCCUGUCCCGACAAUGUUCCUUUGGAAAAAUUUUCUUGUAAACUUCAAGAGCCAUCCUUGAGUUCCAACCAAUAUAUCCACGUAAGAAUAUAUCUGCCUGUUUCAAUUAAUAACUAGAUUAAUUUGUAUUAAAAGGGCACAAUUAUCUCGCAUUAGCUGAAUUUAGAAAAGGAUGACACCUCAAAAGAAAAAUAAUUUACUCUAAUUCGGGCAUUAGUGAAUGCUUCCAUAGUUCCAAUCCGUGAUCUAAAAGUCCCACAAUAUUAAUUACAACUUCUUAAUUAUUUGAGAUUUUAGAUUAUGGCAAAGAUUAGUCCAAUUCCGCAAUAGAUUUGUCAAUCUUAUGACAGAUAUACUUAGAGAGACUCUUUAGUUAUUACUCCUUUUGAUCUUUGAUUUUCGUGCUUAUUACAAUUUAUUGAUCAAAAUUAAUUAUUAUUUAAUAAAUUAAAAUAUAAUUGAUUAUUAGCUUCUAUCUUUAUUGAUCUUUCUUAAUAAAUGUGUAGAAAGAUUCACGCAAUGAAAAGAGAGAAGAACAAAUUGAAAUAAAAAUUUGAAUAAUUUAAUCAAAUUACUUUUUGUAGUUAAUAUUUACUUCAACGCAAUGCAAAAUUUUAAAUACAACUAGAUCAUAGUUCAAUUUGUAUCUGUAGGGAUGGAAAUAAUCUUAAUGUUAUUGGUUCAUUUGAUUUCGGUAAUUUUAGCUCUAACAGUGUGUGUGUGUUAAUUUUUGUAAAUAUAUAAAUAAUAGAUUUUUCAACAUAGUAAGUUUAAUGGAUUGUAAUAAAAUUUCAAACUUAAACCCAUAAAAUUCAAAUUCUAAUUUGUUAAUAUGCAUAUGCAAUUCUCUCUUCUUAGUCCCUCGGUUUCACUUUAUUUGUCGGAGUUGUACUAGGUGUGAAGUUUACGAAGAAAGAAACUUUUUGAAACUUAUAAUUUUAAAAAUAUUACUAUGUCGAUGUGACCAUAAAAAACAUGUUAUUAUGAGUAAAACGUAAAUAUAUAAAUUAGAAACACAAAAAGAUGUAUCUAAAGUCUAAAUUUUAAAUUUGCCACUGCAAACUCGAUUCACGCAAAAAACAAGGAUGGAAGAGAUUACCUUACGAGCGUAACAGGUUGUGAGGGUUGCACCCCAACCAUUAAAGAAGUAGCAUAGUUGCACUAUUGAAGAACCAAAUAAGACGAUCAAUGGACGACUUGGUCCAACCAUUCUUUUUUCUUCCAUCUUUUUUCCUUACCAAAUAAAAGAUUUUUCUUUUUAAUGUUGGAAAGAGUUCCAUAUACUUGCUAUUUAUAAUGGUGGAUUCUUACAAAAGGCAAAAUUCAUUCCUCCACGUGCAUAUACAUAUCAGUAUAGUAUUCUCCCAUCUAUUUUGCUUGUUUAUGGUUCUAAUUAAAAGUUGAUAUCUACUUUUACUUAUUCAAUUUAAAAAAUUAAGAGAUAAUUUAUUUUUUAUACCUGAUUUAUUCUUAUUAUUAAUAUUAUUCAGAUUCCUAUAUAAUGACUUAUACUAAAUAUGAGUGAUAUAGUAAAUUAUUAUUUUUAUUAGUUGUUUCUUAAGAAACAUAUCAAAUCAGACAUGUAUAAGUGAAAAUAGACAGAGAGAAUAAUAUAAUACGUUAUAAUAGUCGUUUUCAAAUUCAAGAAUAUAAGUGCAUCAGUACUUACUUUAAAAAAAGAUAUUUGAUUCAAUUAUAUAAAGUUACGAUGACAACACGUUGAGAAGCAACCUUUAAAUAAUAUAUUAGCAAAAAACAGCAUUCACUCUACAAUUGUUCUUGAGAAAUUUUCACAUUUUAAAAAAAAUUAAUAAUAGCAUCACUAUCUACACUUUUUAAGUAGACUGCAAUAACAAACUAAACAACCAUUAAAACAUCUUCAUUCAUCCUACUAUGAAAGUCAUUUUUAUGUACUUCAUCAAUGUGAAUGUUUUUUUCAUCCUUGCAGUAGCAAUAGAUUAAAUCUAAAUCAGUUUCAUAAGUAGAUAAACAAUUGACCAAGUUUUUAGCAAGAUCCUUAAUUCCUUUUGAAUAGAAAAAUUUGUUGUUACAUUUUUGAACAUAGACAAUGAAACUAUCGAACUAGAAACCAAAAUUCCAAAGCUUGCUUAACACCAAUCCCACUGGAUAAUACUCGAUUAGUUUUAUUAUUCUAUUCUUAUGAAAAUGAGCAAAUGAAUCAAUUGAACUUAAACUAGUUAUAUAAAAGAAUAAGUCAUGAACAUUUUGAUAUAAUUAUUACAUCAAAAUGAUCAUUAAGUUCUUAAAAUAAGAAACCACUAAUGGCGUAAAGAGAAGCAAGAAACACAAAGUGCGUGUUUAAUUUAUAUAUUCAAUAUAAAGGAUGACAACAGUUGGGAAUAGAAAUUUAAAAGGUGAAAGUCCAACAGCUUGGAAAUUGAAACUUGUUUAUUUAAUUUUUUUCUUUUAAAAUAAAUAUAAUUGAAAAAAUUGUAAUGCUAUACAAAUAGGAAGGAGAGGGUGGGUGCACAUGUGAACCCCCACCACAUAUGCCCCUAUGUACCAUGGACCUUAAUUUGAUUCUCCCUUUGUUUCAAUUUAAAACUUAAAAAAANNNNNNNNNNNNNNNNNNNNNNNNNNNNNNNNNNNNNNNNNNNNNNNNNNNNNNNNNNNNNNNNNNNNNNNNNNNNNNNNNNNNNNNNNNNNNNNNNNNNNNNNNNNNNNNNNNNNNNNNNNNNNNNNNNNNNNNNNNNNNNNNNNNNNNNNNNNNNNNNNNNNNNNNNNNNNNNNNNNNNNNNNNNNNNNNNNNNNNNNNNNNNNNNNNNNNNNNNNNNNNNNNNNNNNNNNNNNNNNNNNNNNNNNNNNNNNNNNNNNNNNNNNNNNNNNNNNNNNNNNNNNNNNNNNNNNNNNNNNNNNNNNNNNNNNNNNNNNNNNNNNNNNNNNNNNNNNNNNNNNNNNNNNNNNNNNNNNNNNNNNNNNNNNNNNNNNNNNNNNNNNNNNNNNNNNNNNNNNNNNNNNNNNNNNNNNNNNNNNNNNNNNNNNNNNNNNNNNNNNNNNNNNNNNNNNNNNNNNNNNNNNNNNNNNNNNNNNNNNNNNNNNNNNNNNNNNNNNNNNNNNNNNNNNNNNNNNNNNNNNNNNNNNNNNNNNNNNNNNNNNNNNNNNNNNNNNNNNNNNNNNNNNNNNNNNNNNNNNNNNNNNNNNNNNNNNNNNNNNNNNNNNNNNNNNNNNNNNNNNNNNNNNNNNNNNNNNNNNNNNNNNNNNNNNNNNNNNNNNNNNNNNNNNNNNNNNNNNNNNNNNNNNNNNNNNNNNNNNNNNNNNNNNNNNNNNNNNNNNNNNNNNNNNNNNNNNNNNNNNNNNNNNNNNNNNNNNNNNNNNNNNNNNNNNNNNNNNNNNNNNNNNNNNNNNNNNNNNNNNNNNNNNNNNNNNNNNNNNNNNNNNNNNNNNNNNNNNNNNNNNNNNNNNNNNNACUUCAUAUUGGAGGCUAAUAUAAUUAUUUAAAAUAAUAUAAAUAUAAUAUUUUUAUGUACAAGAAAUACACAUUUUAAUUAAUUAAAAAUCAAAUAUAUUUAUUUAUAUAUUAUAAAAAUUAAAAUUAAAAUUUGCUAACUGAGUGACCAAAAAUAUUAUUAACCUCAAUAUGUAUUUAAAAAAAAAAAAUCACACCUACUUAAUUGGAAUGGUGCUGCCCACCCUAAAAACAUGGGACCAAAAAUAACUUAGGUUGGAGACUUAUCAAAAGCACACCUCAAUUGGAAUGGUGCUGCUUUUUGGAUUUUAGCCUCAAACUACUAACCAAACUAUAGGGGUAACAUACUUAACACUUACUUUAUAAAAAAUAGCAAUACUUUGAUUAAAUUACCUUGUGUAAUAAAUCUAAUAUUAUUUUAAGUGGGGGACCACACUUACCGUCUCUCAGAAGUUACCAUGUUUGAGGUUCCAUUUUUCACGCUUAAAAUCUUUUCUUUAAUUGUUUCUUACUUUAUUAUUUUUCACGCUUUUUCUCAGAUUCUCUUUCAAAAUUUGUCCCUUCUUAACAUCUUUUGCACGGUCUAAUAAGGAAAUUGUGAAAUAACUAUUAAUUUAGUUAUUGCAUGUUAUCAAUUUCUCAAAAAAAAACAAUUUACCAAAAAAAAAAAAAAAAUUGUACUGUAAACAAUUUUUUCAAUUCGUCUUUAAGGUUUUGAUUUUUGUAGUUGUUAACGGAGAAUCAACGUGAUCGAAUUUACUAAAUUUUGUUUUAUUUUUUUCAGCAAAAUUUUAUGUUUUAUGAGUUGAUAUAAUUGAUAGAGUUGAAAAAAUUGAAUUUUGGAUGACAAUUGAAAUUGAAUUAUGUUUUGUUGCGAUUAAUGGAGGAUAAUCAGAGUUGAAUGGAUAUUGUAGAUGAUUUUGGGUUGAUUUGUUGUUGAUAAUUUUUUUUUUCAUUUGUUUUUAAGUGAAUUUGAUGUUUUAUGAGUUGAUAUAGUUGAAAAAAAAUUAAAUUUUGGAUGAAAAUUGAAAUUGUAUUUUGUUUUGUAGCGAUUAAUGGAAUAUAAUCGGAGUUCAAUGGAUAUUGUAGAUGAUUUUGGGUUGAUUUGUUGUUGAAGAAGACAUGGAGGAAGAGGUAUUUUUCAUUGUAUAUGUAUUUUUAUUUACUAUUAUAUAUUUAGGGAUUUCAGUAAAGCUGUUAUCAAUUUGGGGUAAUAUGUAUUUUUUUUUAUGAAGCUAAUAUGUAUUUACUGAUUAGCUGAUAUGUAUUUAGGGAUUUCAGUAAAGCUGAUUUGUGAAGAUGAUAGGUUAAAUAUUCAUUUUGGGUUAACAUGUUUUUAUUUGUAUUUUUUGUAAAGUUACUAUGUUUAGUUGUAUUUGUAUGUUAAAUGAAUUUGUUAAGUUGCAUGUAUGGAAAAAUACAUUUAUGUAUGAAUUAUCCAUGAAGAGGUAUUUAGCUAUAUGUACUUUUAUUAUAAUUGAUAUGUAUUUUCAGUAAAUUGAAAUGUUGAAAUAUACAAAUACAUUUGUGGUUAUGGACGUAUUUGUAUCUAUUGAAAUACAAAUACAUUUUAAAAUAAUUUUUCAAUAAAGUUUAUGUAGGUUUGCCAUAUAUACAAAUGACUGACUAGAUAUACAUUUAAGGUAUAUGUAAGUAGUUUGUAUGUUUUAUAGAUACAUAUGCACUUUCAUUUAUAUUUUUGUUAAGUUCAAUACACAUUUUAAGGUAUAAGGAAGCAUUUGUAUUUUUAUACAUACAUAUCAAAUUUCAUAUGUAUUUUGCUUUAGUGAUGGUUUUGUAUUUUUGUUUUGUUCAAUAUACAUAUGCAUAUUUAUAUGUAUUUUUUGAUGUGGUGAUUGUGUUUUGUGUUUUUUUACAGUUUAUGAGGUGUAGUUUUACUUUGUAUAGGUGUCACAUGGUGAAAUACUCAUUGUAAGAAAACUUUCAAGAUUUGCACCACAUAUGUGUUGCUACAGUGAAAAUGAUAUUGAGGAAAGUUUACAGGCCAUAUUGAUGUAAAAUAUUGAUGUGUUAUUUGUAGAGGAUUUGCCUCAACAACCAAGUGGAAGCUUGUAAGUAUUUUAAUAUACAUAUACUAAAUUUGUAAGUUUGUACGAAAUAUAUUUUAAUUAUUAUUCAAUAUUUUUUUAGGGAUUGUGGUUUGUAUAUGAUUAUAUACGCAGAGUGUCUUUCUUAUGGUCAAGGCGUUCCUUCGAUUGAUUUCAAUCCCAACGUACUUCGUACAAGAUAUGCUUCACUAUUGUGGAAUUACGGUAUUAGAAAACAAGAAGCAAAAGCUCAAAGUGACGACGAAGUGCCAUUAAGACCUAUUAAGGAAAGCAAGAUAACUAGUGUCGCAGAAGUAUUAGAAGUCUGAUGGUUGAUGAUUUUAUUACGUUGUGUGAUUGACAAGAUUUAAUUGAAUAUUGAUAUUAAUUGUAUAAACUUAUUUUAUGUUUCGAAGUGAAUCAAAGUUACUUAUUUUGAAGUGAAUGAAAGUAAUUCACUUUAGUCUUUUAUAUUGAAUAUGUUUUCAAUAAUUUUGUAGUCUGUGUUUUAUUCCAGUGUUUAGUUGUAUUUGUUAUUGUGUGAUUUAGCUUCAAAAUAUAUAUGUAGUAUUCAGAUUUUGCGAUAUAUACAUAUGCAAUAUUCAGAUUUAACUUAAAUAUACAUAUGUAGUUAACAUCAUAUGUAUUUUAAUCUUUGUUCAUUUACUUUCAAAAUACAUAUGAAGUGAAUCAAACUUACUAAUUUUGAAGCAAAUGAAAGUAAUUCAUUUUAGUCUUUUAUGUUAAUAUGUCAAUAAUUUUGUACUCUAUGUUUUAUUUCAGUGUUCAUGUUUUAUUUAUUAUAGUGAGAUUUAGCUUAAAAAUAAAUAUGCAGUGUUCAGAUUUUGCAAUAUAUACAUAUGCAAUAUUCAGAUUUAACUUUAUUCAUUUACUUUCAAAUACUUUAAAAUACUUUCACAUUACAAAUAUGUAUAAGUGAUCAUAUUUGAAAAAUAUCUCAGUUAUCAAAUACGUAUAUCCUUAAACAUAGUAUUUUUCAAAUAAAAAGCAUAUGUAUUUUUCUAUCAAAUUUAGUAAUACAUAACUAUAUUACUAAUUGUUAUUUAUAACACAUUAUAGCAAAUGGUUGAUAAAGGUCUUAUAACACACAAAUGAGUUCAUUAUUAUGAAAAGUGCAAAAGAAAUUAUAAAAAAAGAAUACGGAAGAACAAAUGUAUCAUUUACGAUAUUUCCUACACGAACAUCUAUUGUGACCCUUAGACCCACAACCACUGGAUGAGUUGAUGUUCUUCUAUUCAAAUAUAUCCCUACCCAAUUUUAACACCUUCAACAGAUGUAUUUAACAGUUGAUGCAAAUUGUUUUGGACGUCUCUUCUUUCAACAACACAUACAGAUGAACUUUCAAAGGUGAUCACAACAUCUUUCUCCAAAAUGCAAUUGCAACAAAUUUGUUAAACAUAAAUUACAAACACAAUCAAAAUUCUCAGUAGAAAAUACAAUAACAAAUUAUUUGUUCAACGUUAAAUAUGGACAAAGCCACGAUCUCCACAAUUGAACACAACCAAAAUAAAUAUAAUCGAAAUUAUCAAAAAUAUAAAUAGUCUUAAAUUCUGAGGAUCAGACCUCCAAAAAAUUUAAUUUGAGCAGUAUAAAAAAUUAAUUUCGAUCACUAUUUUGUUCUAUCUAUUCAAUUUACUGUUGCAUUGCUUUUAACUCAAAAUUCGUUUACAAAAUUUUCAUAAAUAAAUUAACGACGAUAACAAAAAAUUGAACGAAUGGUUGACAAAAAAUUUUGAACCAAAAAACAAUAAUGAUUAAAUACCUUCAACAACAGUAAUGGUUACAUUUGCAAUCGAUUGUUGAAUUCGAACAAAUUGAACUGAAGAAGCUAUUGAAUUUGAUUUACAAUUGAAUUUGAUUCAACAACAUUAAUGUCUCUCUUUGUAAUUUAUGUUGAAUUUGAAGAAAUUGAAUAGAAGAAAUUUCAGUCAAAUUUGAUUCAAAAAUAAUAAUGGUUGAAUUUCAAACUAACGGUUGAAUUCGAACAAUUUUGAACAGAAAAAGGUUCAGUUUUUUUUUUUGUAUGAACACGUAAAAUGAAAAAAUUGAAAUUUGAAUUUUGCUUAGUGUUGUUAACAUAUAACGGAAAUCACGUGAUUUAAAAGGUUUUAAUGAAAAGGGAAUCUACACAUUUAAUUCAUGGGUAAUUAUAGCAUAUUUACCUCAACUACUUUCAGUUAAAUAAGGGCAGAAAAAUGAUUUGUAUAUGUAUUUUUAUAGCAAUAGUUUCUUAAAAUACAAAAUACAAGUUGCUAUCCUAAAUAAUUAUUAAAUUGUUGCUAGGAAACUAAUAAUUAUGAUCUUAAGUAUGCUAUUUGUGAAUUUUACCCACUACUAAACUCGUAACCACAAGGUAACAAGUAACACAAUAGAAAGAUCCUACACUUGGAAAAGUAUAAUUCUAUUUAAUAUGGUGGAGUUUGAUUGUAUUAAUAAAUAUGUGGGUUACUGUUCUAUCUAAAGUUAUUUGGAUUUAAAUAGGCUAAAAUAUGAGUCAUACCCAACAGUUCUAAUUUAACUAUGUUAUUUUAUUUUAUUUUAUUUUUUGGAAUAAUUUCAAAGACCUUCCCUCGUGUUUGUCCUUAUCACACUGACCUUCCUCAUAGUUUACAAUACUACAAUUACCUCCCCUAUUUUAGUUUUCUUGUAACAAUUCCUUUUAGUUAAUUAUUGCUAGUUUUAAAAAAUUAUGAUAGGACUAAUUUGUCCAUGUGAGGCACUUUUUUUAGAAAAAAUAAUUUGCAAGUAUCUAUGCUCAAAAUAAAUUAUCAUUGCCCUUCCCAAUUCUCCAUCAAACUUCCUAUGCAGCAACAAGACAAAAUGAACUCUGAGACUAAAAGCUUGAGAACGAUCUCAGAACUCCUAAAAGAAAUGGUUCAACUCUUUUCCAUUGCAUUACAUCAAAUUGAUACCCAUUAUUUUUCAUUAUUCAUGCUCUAAUGAUUGCAAUUAUUUGUCCCAAUUCCUUGUAUGAAGCAUAUAUGCAUAAAUUCUUAAUUAAUUUUUUCCUGUUAAGUAUUGUCUAAAUAAUAUAAGUACAACAAUAACAUACCAAAAUCGUAAUAUAAUCCCACCGAGUAUGACCUUGGAAAAGUAGAGUGUACACAGACAUUAUCUCCACUUCAUUGAUUUCUUCUAUUUAAGUUACAUCUCAUGAGCAAGAGUUGACACUAUCACAUCAUAAAGGCAAGACUUACGACUUUCGAACAACAAGCUACGUUUUAUGGGCAAGAGAUGACACUACUACAUUAUGUUUUCAUUUAUGAGAUAUUCUACAACUAUUGUCUUAGAGGCAAGACUUAGCUCAAGGACUUUCAAACUACAAAUUAUGCUCAAGAAAGAGUUAACUUUACCAUGUUAUGUUUUCAUUUAUGAGAUGUUCUACAACUAUUGCCUUAGAGACAAGACUUAAUUAGCUCAAGGACUUUCAAACUAUAAAUUAUGCCCCACGGGUAAGAGUUGACUCUACCACGUUAUAUCUUUAUUUAUGAGAUGUUCUACAACUCUUGCAUGCCUUAGAGGCAAGACUUAGUUCAAGUACUUUCAAACAACAAAUUAUGACCCACAGGCAAAAGUUGACACUACCACAUUAUGUCUUCAUUUAUGAGAUGUUCUAACACUCUUGCCUUAGAGGCAAGACUUAGCUCAAAGACUUUCAAAUUGCAAAUUAUGCCCCACGGGCAAGAGUUGACACUACCACGUUAUGUCUUCAUUUAUGAGAUGUUCUACAAUUCUUACCUUAGAGGCAAGACAUAGUUCAAAGACUUUUAAACUACAAAUUAUUCCCCACGGGCAAGAGUUGACACUAACACGUUAUGUCUUCAUUUAUGGGAUAUUCUACAACUCUCACCUUAGAGGCAAGACUUAGCUCAAAGGCUUUAAAACUAUAAAUUAUGCCCCGCGGAUAAGAGUUGACACUAUCACGUUGGGUAUUCAUUUAUGGGAUGUUCUACAACUUUUGCCUUAGAGGCAAGACUUAGCCCAAAGACUUUCAAACUAUAAAUUAUGCCCCACGGGCAAGAGUUGACACUACCACGUUAUGUCUUCAUUUAUGGAAUGUUCUACAACUCUUGCUAAAGAGGUAAGACUUAGCUCAAAGACUUUAAAAUAAUAAAUUAUGCUCCACGGGCAAGAGUUGACACUACCACGUUUUGUCUUCAUUUAUGGGAUAUUCUACAACUCUUGUCUUAGAGGCAAGACUUAGCUCAAGGACUUUUAAAUAAUAAAUUAUGUCCCAUGGCAAGAGUUGACACUACCGCGUUAUAUCUUUAUUUAUGAGAUAUUCUACAACUCUCGCCUUAGAGACACGACUUAUCUCAAGAAUUUUCAAAGAACUUCAUAACAACAAUUCAUGCCCUUAAUGCUUUGAUGAUGUCAAAAAAAGAAAAUCCCUUUGCAAAUUAUCUAAUUUUUUAUUUAUUAGCAAAGUAUAAUAGAAAUUGAGAGAAAAGAAAAAAGCGAUCAAACAAAAUAAAGAAAUAAAAAAAGAUUGAGAAAAAAAGAAAAGAAAAGAAAAAAUAAAGAUCAAGAAAAAAGAGAAGAAUUAAAAAAUUGAGAAAAAUAAAAAUGAGAGGAAAAAUAAAAAUAAAGUUUGAGAAAAAAUGAGGGGAAAAAAGAGAAUUGAAAGAAAAAUGAUCAAACAAAAUAGAGAAAUAAAAAAAAAGAUUAAGAAAAAAAAGUUAAGAAAAAAAUAAAGAUUAAGAAAAAAGCAAAGAAUUAAAAAAAUUAAGAAAAUAAAAAAUUAGAGGAAAAAAUUAAAAUAAAGUUUGAGAAAAAUGAGGGAAAAAAAGAACUUAUAAAAAUAAACAAUAAAAGAAAAAUAAAGGAUAAAGACAAAUGAAUUAAAAAGGGGGGAAAAUAGAUAAUUCUUGAGAAAAGGGAAAAAAGAGAAAAAAAAUAAAGGUUGAGACAAAUGAAUUAAAACGUGAAAAUAAAAUUAAAGGAAAAAUAAAAUGUGAAAAUAAUAAAAAAUAGAAUAAUAAAAUUAAAGGAAAAAAUAAAAAGUGAAAAUAAUAAAAAAUAAAAUUUGAGAGACAAAUGUGUAUGAAAAGUUUAAAAAUAUAUUUGAGAUGUAGAGAGGCAAAUUGGUAUUUGUAUUAUACUUAAAAAGUAAGGAAGUAUUUUUUAAAGACAUUUCUUAUUGGGGGCAAAUAUCUAAAGCCACCUAUAUUUGGGUCUAGGACUUACAAUUUCCCCGUGCUAAUCGGGGCUUUAACGUUGCAUAACUGUGUCUGCAAAAUAAUUGAAGAAAGAGCGCAUUCAAUAACAACAAACCCUAUGUAUUCCCACAUAGUGAGGUCUGAAGAAAGAGUGCAUUAGAAAGGGCAAAUUAGUCCUAUCAUAAUCUUUUAAAUUAAUAUUAAUUAUGUAAAAAGAAUUGUUAAGAAGAAAUCAAAAUAAGAUUUCUUAUGACAUAUGACAUAUCAAAACCAUUUUUUUUAUAAAUUAAGCUAAAAAUGAGAUGAACUACUAAUUCGGGCCAAUCACCAUCCAAAUUUCGUGUUAAACAUAUUAUAUUUUUGUGCUAUAAUUUUUCCACCUCGAGAAAAGUACUCAAGGAAGGAUGAAAACUUUGCACUUAGGCAAUCAAGGACGCUGGAAAGGAAGAAUAAUGUAGGCCUUGAUUACAAUAUUGGAUGAUAGGAGGAGGACCAUUGAUGGGUUCUUGAAUAAUAUUUAGUUAAACAUUGGAAAAAAGAGUAUUUGGUGCUCAAAUUAAAUAGGACAAAUAAUAUAAAUUUCAAUGAUUUAGAGUUUAAUCAUAAAAAAAAAUAAUAUUUUAUAUAAUUAUUGAAAAUAUCGAUUUUGGAUUUGUCAAGAUACAUAAAUUAACUCUUGAUACAUCCAAAGAAUAUACAUUUUUUUCUUUGUAAAGAUACAUAAUUAGCUUCAAAUAUAUAUUUUCGAUCUUUAAUCUAUUAAACAUAAUUAGUUUCCUGAUAAUGAAGAUACAUAAAUAGUUGAGAUUUUCGUAAUUACUUUAUAAGGAUGGAGAUUUGUAUAAAUAUGAUAAGUUAAGGUGUAUAUUUAUGUUCUUUUUCUAAUUAAAUAACGGUUGUACAAAAGUUGAAAUUGUGCUUCGAGCAUGAAGUACACUUGAAAGAAAAUUGAACUUUGUGAGAAUCGUUUCUCUUGAAAUACUUUUUCUAACUUCAAAUUAUCUUUUUCAAAUUAAAGUCGAAAUGAUGGAUCAGAUGAUAAAAUAAAAAGUAUUCAUGAAAAAGAAGUUAAACAUUUGAAUAGUAAAUUUUGUUGGGAAUCUUUCAAAAAUAACAGUAUUUUGCUAUAAAAUCCACCUUUCAUAGCCACAUUUUACAUAAUUAUCAUUUAUAGCCGUUGUAUUUGAUUUAUUCCCAUUGUAUUCGGCUUUACAGAUAGCAUGCAUUCAUAUAAAAUAUGAAUACAGUCCCUAUUUAGUCGCGCAAAAAAAGAAAUUCAAUAUUUUUAAAAAGAAAAAAAUUUCAAUCACGCUUAUCUCGUUGAACUGAAUAUUUUCUUGCCUAACACUACCUUUAUCGUUUUUUAUAUUUUUUGUAUUUUUCCCUUUUUACUUCUUUUUUUUUUCUAUUUUGCCUACUUUUAUUUUUUUCCAUUUAUUUUCUUUUGUUUUUUGUGUUUUUUUUUUCUCUUUAAUCUCUAACUUCUGUUUCUCUUUCUUCUUUUCUUUUCUUCUUUGAUUUUUGUUAUUUUCCUUUUUAUACUUAUUUUCUUUAUUAUUUUUUUGUUCUAUUCUAUUUAAUAUUUUUUGUAUUUUCAAAAAAUAUGACUAAUCGAGCACAAGUCAUGAAUGAUAGUGUAAAUACCACAAUUGUUUAUUGUAUUUGUAGUUACACCGCCAAUAUUUAUUUUUCUAUUUAUUGAUACAACUGUAUUUGUAUUUGUAUUUUAAAGUUUGCACUUAUAUUUAUAUUUUAUAGUUCGCAUUUAUAUUUGUAUUUAAUAGUUCGCACUUGUAUUUGUAUUUCUUACUUUGCGCUAUCAUUUAUACUUUAUAUAAUUCACACUUGUAUUUUAAAAAAUUAUUUUAUAUUUGUAUUUUAUAAUUGAUUGCACAUUAUAUUAGAUUAUAUUUAUAUUAUGGUUUUAUUGUGUUUUUAUAUUUAGAUUAUAUUUGGAUUAUACUUGUAUUUAUAUUCUAUUUUAUUCAUUACCUUUUUAUUUUUAAAAAAUUAUUGUGUAUUUGUAUUUGUAAGUUGAUUACAUAUUAUAUUUAGUCAUGACUAUAUACAAUUUAUCAUUUGUAUUUGUAUACAAACAAGUAAGUGCAUUAAUUGUAUCUUGUGAUUCUAAAAUAUAUAUAUGUGUAAUGUAUCAUUUGAUACAAAUGUACCGUUUUGUAUUUGUAUAUCAAAAUUAUAAUUCAUAUUUGUAAAUAAACAAAUAUCAAUUGAUACAAAUACAAUGACAAACAAAUAAAAGAAAUGAUUUUGCAAAUACAAAUACAAUAUGUAUUUAUUUGUAUGAAUUUGUAUAUAUUGUAUUUGUAUUUGUAUAUGAAUUUGUAUAUAUUGUAUUUGUAUAAAAAAUUGAGUUGUAUUUAUUUGUAUAAAUAAAAAUAACUAGUAUCAAUAAAUACAAACAAGUAUUCGUAGAAAAAAAAUCAAUUUUUCUUUUUCAAUAAUUAAAAAAUACAAAUGAUAGUUCACACUUGUAUCUGUAUGUUAUAGUUCACAUUUGUAUUUGUAUUUUAUAAUUCGCACUUGUAUUUGUAUGUUAUAGUUCAUAUUUGUAUUUGUAUUUUAUAGUUCGCAUUUAUAUUUGUAUUUGCUAGUAUGCAUAAAUGAAAAGAAGAGAAAAAAAUGAAAAGAAAAAAAAAGGAGAAAAGAUGAGAGCAAAAAUAAAAAGAAGAAGGAUAUUAAUAGAAAAUAGAGAAAAAAAUAAAUAAAGUAGAAAAAUAAAAAGGGAAAAAAGAAAAAUAAAAAAAAAGGAGAAAAGAUAAGAGAAAAAGGAGAAAAAUAAAAUAAAAAGAAGGAGAAAAGAUGAGAGAAAAAGAAAGAGAUUUUUUUUUAAAAGGAAAGUAACAGACAAUAAAGAAAAAAAGAAGGAGAAAAAAUAAAAUAGAAAAAAAGAAAAAGAACAAAAAAGAAAAAACAGAAAAAAGAAAACGAAAAAGAAAAACAAAUAAAAAGGAAAAAUGAAGAAAAAAAUUUAAAUAAAAAGGAGAGUAAUAGAAAAUAGAGAAAACAAAAUACAUGAGAGAGACUAUGAAUUGUUAUUGGGGAUAAUUAAUAGGCAAGGGGAUGCAAUGGAUUGUAAUUAAUUGAAAAUUAGGCUUUAAGUGGUAAUAAAAGCUCAAUAGUGGCUAAUAUGGGUAAUUUUCCCAAUUUUGGUGUUUAAUCAGUUAUAAAUAUAUGUUAUAUAAUACUCCAUUUGUUUGCUUUUACUUAUCACUAUUUUUUCUAAUUGAAUCUUAAUUUUUAGUUGUCAUUUUCUAUAUAUAAAAAAAGACAAAAGAAUUUUUUUUAUUUUACUUUUAGUAUUAAUUGUUUAUUCUCCAAAGUAUUUUUAAGACAUAUUACUCUAAACGUCAAUUAAUAGAGGAAUUACGCUAAAAUAAUCAUAUUAGUAAUUAUUUUGUAAUAAAUGUGCAAUGUCAAAAAGUGAUAAGUAAAAACAAAUUAAGGAAGUAAAUAUUAAAAUAAUCUAUUAUCAUAUAUUUUAAAUCUGUACUUAUAUUUUACUGUUGAAAAUAUUUUAAAUAUUAUGAAAUAACUACUAUAUUAAACUCGUCCCUCAUUAUUCUUGGUGGCACUAGAAAACAAAUUUAUGUGAAAAUGCUAGGUGAUACCCAAAGAUUCAUCCAAAGGAGUAAUGUACCAUAAUCAAGCUCUACCCAAAGCUAUAUUUACAAGGAAAAAUUACAUAUUAUAAACAAAAUACUAUAUUAAUUACAUGAUAUGGUUAAUGUUUUAAAAAAUUACAAUUUAUAAUCAUUUGGUAGUUAAAAGUCAAUUUUUUUUGUAGCUCCUAUAUACAAAUAUAUUAAGAUUUGUAUAUAUCAAUUUUCUCUCUCGUAUAUUUAUUUUUCAUAUUUUCUUUCUAUUCUUUCUCUAUUCUAUUGACUCAAGAAAAGGCAACAAGGGAAUAUCAAAUCACAAGAUUUUUUAAGAUAUCUUAUUUAACUAUUUUUUUCUUAAUUUUCUCUCAAAAUCACUCUAAUAUCCUUAAUUUUAAAUUAAAGUAAUGACAACAUUGACAACAUCAUAAUACAUGAUUAUUCAAUAGAUCUUCUUCAACUUUUUUCUCCUUAUUUUUUUCUCAAAGUCACUCUAAUAUCACAAAAUAUAAUCCUUGAUUUUUCUGUGAUAAAUUGUUUUUGCGAAUUUUCAUCACAGAAAAUCAGUUUAGGAUAUUUAUUGACAUUAGAUUUUAUUUCUUUUUAAUUUUUUAUAUAUUAUGUCAGUUAGUCGUUAAAUUUCUUUGUUGUUCAUAUAUUUUACAAAUGAAACAGAAAAGGGGGAGCAUUCCCCCAUUUUUAUAAAAUUUUUUAUUUUUGCGGAUUUUUAUUUUAUAAUAUAAAUUUUUAUAUAUUAUGUAAGUCACUCCCCCAUUUUUUUUAUGGAUGAUUUACCAAAAAAAAAGAAAAAAAUUUUGCAUUUCUAGCAAGGCGGAAAGGAAAAAAUAUUUUAAAGUAUCUAAAUUCAAAAGGGGGAGUAAUGAAGUUGACAAUGAUUACGAGGUUUUUUCGUAUAUAUUCUCAUGAAAUAGAAUUGUUGGUCAAUAUACAUUUUUGUUUCAAUAUAUGUAGAUACGUNNNNNNNNNNNNNNNNNNNNNNNNNNNNNNNNNNNNNNNNNNNNNNNNNNNNNNNNNNNNNNNNNNNNNNNNNNNNNNNNNNNNNNNNNNNNNNNNNNNNNNNNNNNNNNNNNNNNNNNNNNNNNNNNNNNNNNNNNNNNNNNNNNNNNNNNNNNNNNNNNNNNNNNNNNNNNNNNNNNNNNNNNNNNNNNNNNNNNNNNNNNNNNNNNNNNNNNNNNNNNNNNNNNNNNNNNNNNNNNNNNNNNNNNNNNNNNNNNNNNNNNNNNNNNNNNNNNNNNNNNNNNNNNNNNNNNNNNNNNNNNNNNNNNNNNNNNNNNNNNNNNNNNNNNNNNNNNNNNNNNNNNNNNNNNNNNNNNNNNNNNNNNNNNNNNNNNNNNNNNNNNNNNNNNNNNNNNNNNNNNNNNNNNNNNNNNNNNNNNNNNNNNNNNNNNNNNNNNNNNNNNNNNNNNNNNNNNNNNNNNNNNNNNNNNNNNNNNNNNNNNNNNNNNNNNNNNNNNNNNNNNNNNNNNNNNNNNNNNNNNNNNNNNNNNNNNNNNNNNNNNNNNNNNNNNNNNNNNNNNNNNNNNNNNNNNNNNNNNNNNNNNNNNNNNNNNNNAGAUAUACAAAUAAUAAAAACAAUCUUUGUAACCUUUAAAACAGAUAUACAAAUACAAUUAUACACUUAUGUUAACAGAUAUACAGAAAUUCAAAUAUACUACUAAUAAAUAUACAUAAAAAAAUAUUAAAAGACUAUCAAUAUGUAUAUUAUGAAAUAUGCAGUAGAGUAAUGAAUGAAUAUAUCACAGAAAUUGCAAUUACAAAUGGGAUUUAGAAAAGAAAAAAAAAACUAACACAAACAAGGAUUAUAACCUUUUAACAACUUCUGUGAAUUUUUUUUUCAAAAUUAUGAAAAUAAAAAUUGAAUACGAAAAUUGAAACACAAAAUUACAAUUGAAGUUAUUGUAUACAAAAAUAAUAGUAAUUACAAAAUUGACAAUUUGAAAGUGUUUGAAGUUUAUAUUGUGCAUUCAAUUUUGAAAAUUUAAUUCAAACUAAUAAUAAAAUUGAUUUUCAUUAUGUUGAAAUUGAAUCAAUUUUUAUUGCAUAUUAGAUUCAAAAAAGGAUUUCAGUAUAUAAAUUCAAGUAAAAAAAUAAUUUAUGUAAAUGGUAUAUACCGAAAUUUUGUAUGCACGAAUUAUCAACUUUCUCCUGUAGACCACAAUUUUAAAAAAAAGAAUUAUUAACUUUUGAGAGUGUAAUUAACGCAUAAAUUCAUAUUUAUUGAUCUGUUAUAUCAGAGAAAUAAAUGAAAAGUUGGAGAAGAUUAAGGACAUUUAUUACAUUAAAUUUUUUUUUAUCUCUUUUUGUUGUUAUGGACUUUUUUUUUGUAUAUAUAUAUAAAAGUGUCAUUUAUUUUGUCUAUAAAUUGUAAAUAUGAAAGUUAGACUAGGAAGUUAGUUAUAGAUACUCUAAUGAGACUAUAUGUGAAUUUUUGCCUAUUUACAACUACAUAAUUUUAAGGCCCAUAAAUGGGCCCAAUGUACUAAUUACAAAUUUUAAAUUUAUUUUGUAUGUAUGCAAAAGUUUAAUACAAAAUAUUAAUCAAUACUCUAUUGAUACCAAUAAAAUUUUUAGCAUAAAUAAAAUAUUGUAUAUAAAGUUAUCUAACUCAUAAAUAUUUUAAAGUAUUAUUGAUAUCUAUUAUGAAAACAUUUUUUUUUGUUGUUCUAAAGCACUAAGGCUAAAACUUAAUUUGUUUUUUCAACAUCGCAUAAUGACAUAAAUUUAUUGUGAUUUAAAAUAUAAUUUUAUUUGUUAGAUUGAAUUGAAUUAUACAUAAAAUAUACUAUAUUCAAGAAAGUUAAAAAUCACAUCGUACAUUUAAUAAAGUUCUUAUAGUUUUCCUAACUCUUUUAUUUUCUUUGGAAGAUCUAUUAAGAACACGGUUCUUGUACUUUUUUCUUUAUUAUUCUUUGCACAUAAAUUGUUACUUGUAUAAUAUUAUUAAUUAUUAAAAUAAUGUUAAGUUUGAAUUGAUUCAAAAACAUAUACUAUAUAUAAUUUUACAAAAUAGGUUUGAGAAUGGUAGAAUGUACAUAAAUUUUACCUCUACUCUUAGGGAUAGAAAGACUAUUUCUUGCAGAAUUUUAAGUAUUAAUUGGUAUCUUAAAAUAAAAAAAUAAAACAAUAAGGAAAAUAAUUUACUAUGGUUAAUUAAAUUUUGAUUUGAUCAAUUUAAAAUAUACAAAUAUUUUUCUCUUAUUUUUUCACUCAGUGUCUGAUACUCUCAUUGAAGCUCCGACUAAUUCGGAUUGCGCACUGCAGGGUAUUGGCGCUCCCAAUAAAAUUUUCUUCAUUUCAAGACUCAAAUCUAAGACCUCUGAUUAAGGGAGGAGCAAUCCCAACACUGCACCACUAUCCACGUUGAUGAUCUAAACAUAUUCUAUUAUCAUAUACAUUAAUUGGACUCAAGAAUAAUUUAUUCUUUUUAUCAAUUUGAUCCGGCAACUAAAAAUUAAAUCAAACUUACAUUAAUUCGACUAUUUAAAUUAUUUUCUAAUGUUUAAAAUGAAAUAAAAUAUAGACUCAUUCUCUAUUUAAAUGAAGAUCUGCGAUUUUUAAAUUUUAGGAAUACUCUUAGGAUCUGUUUGAUCAUAUUAUUUUGGAAAUGAGUUUUGAAGUUACAACAACAACAACAACAAACCUAGUAUAUUCCCACAUAGUGGGGUCUGGGGGGGAGGGUAAGAUGUACGCAGUCCAUACCACUACCUCUGGAGAAGUAGAAAGGCUGUUUACGAUAGACCCCCGGCUCAAGACAUGGAAUAAUACACAAAUCCUUAAUAAGGCAUGGAACAAGAUGAUAGUACAUACCUACGCCACCCACAAGGAAUAAUAAUCAAAGAGCAGUAAACAAACUAGUAAUAAAUCAUGCAACAAGGUGUCAUAACAAGAAUAAUACCCUACCAAGUAAUGCCCUACCCAAGCAACCCCAAAUGGCAAUAGCCUUCUAUCAUAAUCCGCGUCCUCCAGAUCUUCCUAUCUAGGGUUAUGUCCUCUGUGAGUUGUAAAUGCUCCAUGUCCCGCCUGAUAACCUCUCUCCAGUAUUUCUUCGGCCUACCCCUACCCUGCCUGAAACCAUCCAAAGCAAGCUUCUCGUACCUAAAAGUCAUUAAACUUGCAUUCCAAAUAUUUUGUCUUGCUUCUGCUCAACCUGAACCCUUUAGACUCAAGGGUCUGUCUCCAUACCUUUAAUUUAACAUUCACCCCCCCCUCCCGCAUCUCAUCAAUCAAAACUACAUUAUCUGUAAAAAGCAUACACCAAGGCACCUCUCCUUGAAUACGCCGUGUCAAUACAUCCAUCACCAAAGAAAACAAGAACGAAUUAAGAGUAUAUCCCUGGUGCAACCCUGUCAUGACAGGGAAAUGCUCUGAGUCUCCUCCUGCUAUCCUCACCUGAGUCUUGGCUCCAUCAUACAUGUCCUUGAUUACUCUAAUAUACGCCAUGGGGACCUUGCUCACCUCCAAGCAUCUCCAAAGAACCUCCCUAGGGACUUUGUCGUACACCUUCUCUAAGUCGAUAAACACCAUGUGCAGAUCCUUCUUUCUUUCCAUAUACUGCUCCACUAGUCUUCGCACCAGGUAAAUCACCUCCGUCGUCGAGCGCCUGGGCAUAAAUCCAAACUGGUUCUCUGAGAUAGACACUAUCCUUCUCAAUCUCAACUCGACCACUCUCUCUCAAAUCUUCAUAGUGUUGCUCAAUAACUUAAUACCCCUAUAGUUAUUGGAGCUCUAAAUGUCACCCUUGUUCUUAUAAAGAGGGAUCAUUAUACUCCAUCUCCAGGGCUCAGGCAUUUUUGCCGACUUGAAAAUAUCAUUAAAUAAUUUAGUCAACCACCUUAAGCCCGCUUCGUCAGAAAACUUCCAAAAGUCCACAAGAAUCUCAUUAGGCCCCGUCGCCCUACCCCUACGCAUCCUGUGAACAGCUUCUUUAACCUCUUCUACCUUAAAACGUCUAUAAUAACUGAAAUCACAACAGUCCUCUGAGUGCUUCAGCUCCCCUAACACAAUAUCUCUAUCCCCUUCGUUAUUCAAUAACCUAUCAAAGUACGACUGCCAUCUCUUUUUAAUGUGAUCAUCCUCCACCAACACUCUACCAUCCUCCCCCUUAAUACACUUCACCUGGUCGAGGUCACAACCCUUCCUUUCCCUAGCGUUUGCAAGCCUAAACAACCUCUUUCCCCUUCUUUCUCUUCUAACCCCGAAUAUAAUCUCUCAAACGCUGCCAUCUUAGCCGUCGUAACUGCCAACUUAGCCUCUUUCCUAGCUAUCUUAUAUUUCUCCCUAUUAGCCCGCUUCACAUCUUCAUCCUUACUCUUAGCCAUCUUAGCAUACGCCUCCUUCUUAGUCUCUACUUUCUUCUUAACUUCUUCAUUCCACCACCGAUCCCCCCGACAAUGACCGGAAUGGCCCCUGAACAUACCCAACACCUCACUGGCAGUCUCCUUGAUGCACUUAGCCACCGUAUCCCACAUACCAUCCAUGUCCCCCUUACACUCCCACCCCUAUACCCUCCACCUUUUCCCCUAUCUCCCGCGCAUUUACCGACGUUAAACUGCCCCACUUAAUUCUAGGUCUACCCUCUUCACCCCUUCUCUUCUUAUCUUUCUUAAUACCUAAGUCCAUCACCAAGAGCCUAUGGUGGGUCGAAAGAUUCUAACUCGGGAUGACUUUACAGUCCUUACACAACACCCUAUCCUCUUUCCUAAGCAGUAAAAAGUCAAUUUAGGUCUUGGCUAUCACGCUUCGAAAGGUGAUCAGAUAACCGUCCUUCUUCGGGAAGCUCGAAUUCACCACUACUAAUCCAAAAGACCUCGCAAAGUCUAGCAGAGCAACUCCCUCUUUAUUUCUCUCCCCAAAACCAAAACCACCAUACACAUCGCCAAAGCUUUCUAAUACCGUCUCGAUGUGCCCAUUGAAAUCCCCUUCUAAAAUAAUCUUUUUGGAACUAGGCACUCCUCUCACCACCUCAUCCAAAUCCUCCUAAAACCGUAUCUUCUCAUCCCUACCCAAGCCCACCUGAGGCCUGUAAACACUAUACACGUUCAGGGCAUACCCCCCAAUGACCAACUUAAUAGUCAUUAACCUAUCGCUGAUCCUCUUAACCUCCACUACCUGCCCUCUAAGCUCCUCUUCUACUAAGAUGCCAACUCCAUUCCUAUGCCUCACACUACCAGAAUACCAAAGCUUGUAACCGUCUUUAUCCCUAGCUUUAGACCCUACCCACUUAGUCUCUUGUAUACACGCAAUAUUGAUCCUCCUCUUUUUAAGAAUCUUCACCAGCUCAAUAGACUUACCCUGAAGAGUACCUAUAUUCCAAGACCCAACCCGCAGCCUAUCCACUCUAGCACCACAUCUUCCUCUACCUCCCCUAACGCCAGACCUAGCCCCCACUCCUACACUUACCCUUUCCUCUUCCUCCACCCCUGGCACAGCCCCCCGCCCCAACCCCCUCGGACAUGACCCUAUCCUACCAUCAAUGCCCAUAGCCAUAAGUCCAGGAAAAUGCCCACAAUAACAGUAAUAAAGUAACAGCGGGAAAUAGAAGGCACACGUAUAGUAUAUGAAAUAAUCAAGAAAAGGUCAAAGCAGGUAAAGACAAUACAAAUAAUAUCCACCAUUAAGCAAAGAAUCCAGUCACAACUAUGCUCACUAGCAGCAAGUAACGAAUGCAGAAAAGAGAGACAGGGAACAAAAUAGUAUAAAACAGUCAAACUAUAUGAAGUGCCAAAAUAUGGAGUGACGAAAUAAUCAAAGUUUAGAUGUCACCGGUACACCUGCAUUCUGCUGGUUCAUCAAUUUUGAUGUUGAAAAUUGGUUGCCAGAAGAAGGUCGACUGGAAUGGGGCCGCUGGUCACAUCGAUGAAGUGUCAUCGGAGUUUUGCCGGAGUGUCUUCAGGGACUUUCCAGGAUCUGGACGUCGACAGACGACGAACCAACUGGUCUGAUCUACUUGUUUGGCCGCUUAUGAAUACCUCCCCCGUUACCCGAGUCGAUCCGACGGGAAACCUAAACCUGCCGACGAUAGUCGCGAUGGGAAAAAAAAUGGAAAGGGUGGGGAAGAUGAUAACGAGGAACUAGGGAGAACGAUUUGAGGGGAGAGAAAGAAAGAGAGGGAAAGGAAGAGAGGUAGAUCUUAUCUACUUUCGGCUCGUCUAUGUCGUCGCCAGCGUCAGAGUCCGCCGGUCAGUCGAGGUGGAAACGUUAAGUUGAAUGUUACAAAGUGUCGAGUUUUGAAGUUAAAAAAAUAUAUAAAAAUUGAUAAUAAAUGUGAAAUUUUUGAGAAGUUUAUGAAAAUUGAGUUAUUUUAUGAAAAUAAAAAAUUAAAAAAAUAAAUUAAAAAGUAUAAAAAGUUAAUUAAAAAAUAGUGGAACACCUCUCGCGGUGUUUUUCAAAAAUCCAAAAAUAGUGAAAAAGUAUUUUGAAAUAUUUAUGGCCAAAUAAAUAUUCCGAAAUAAAGUAAAAAUUUAUUUUGAAAUAUUGUGAAUAAUAUUUAUGGCCAAACGUCUACUUAAUUUACUUUGCAUUUCAAUCAUUCCGCCUGAUUCAUUUAUUUUUCUUGAUAUUUGUAUGCUUUAUUAAAUGUUAAAAUUAAUAAUUCAAUAAAUUGCUUUUAUUUAUUAUUUUUAUUUCAGUUUAACAUAUACUAUUUGUUUUUAUCACACUAAUUUCAUUCAAUUUUUAUUAUAUUAAAGAAAAUUAAAAUUGAAAAAUAAUUAAUUAUUUAAUUUCUAAAAUAAUAGAUAGUUUAUACUCACAUUAGUUAUGUUAUGAGUUUAAGUGAAGCAACUACAAAAAGUAAUUUGAUUAAAUAUUAGAUUAAUUUAAAAGAAGAAAAAAAAGUGCAUGGUAUUGAAUAUUACCUUUUGAAAAAAAGCUUCUCUGAUAAGGAUGAUAAUUGAUGACCAGUUGAAGACAAAAAUUGAGUUUUUUUUUACACAUACACAGAAUAUUUUUGUUGUUCUAGUGUUUUGUUUUCAUGUGUCCAUUAGAAUUUAGUACAGCUUGAAUAGCUAUUUGGAAAUUUAAUAUGAUCUUUGCUUGUUGUACAAUUGCUUGAAGCUGAAUUAAGAAGAAGAAAAAAUGCAUGGUAUCAAAUAUUAUCUUUUGAAAGAAAAGAUUCUCUGAUAAGGGUGAUAAUUGAUGACCAUUUGAAGACAAAAAUUGAGUUCCUAUUUUUACACAUAUGCAUUAUGUUUUUGUUGUUCAAAUGUAUUGUUUCCACGUGUCCGUUACAAUUUAGUAUAACAUGAAUGACUUUUCAGAAAUUUAAUAUAAUCUUUGUUUGCUGUACUAACUCCUUGAAGCUGGAUUACGUUGUUAAAUUACAAAAUUAUUGAAAUGAUAUUUUUACUUGUGGUCGUCUUCAACUCAUGAUUUAAAAAAAAUUAUAUAACAAAUCUCUACAGAAAAAAAUAAGCAUUAUUGGUUAGACAAAAAAAGAAAAGUGAGAAAUAGUAACUUAAGUACAUACAUUAUUAACGUUUAAUAAUGAAAUGAAUGAACAAAAUAAAAAAAAAUUAUUAUUAAUAAUAAAAUUUUAAUAUCUAUUAUACAAUUAAAAAUAGUAGAGCGAUAGUUUUAUAGAAAUAUAUUUUAAUAUAAUUAAUAAAAAUAAUUAACAAAAAAUAGAGGUAAAUUUUAUAAUAAAUUCCUAAAAGAUCAUCCAUUUAUAUUGUCAUUAAAUUAUAAUUUAGAAAAAACAAUUAAUGACAAAACUUGUUUAUCUAUAUAGACAACUAAGAAUAAGAGAUAAGUAAAAAUUAAAUAUACAUAUAUACUUACUACAUGUAAUAUUUAAAUAAUAUCAUAAAAGAUAGCAUUAUAUUUUGUAAUAAGUUCAUAAAAUUAUUCUACUUAUAAUGUUAAUAAACUUAAACAAAAAUCUAUAAAUACCUAGAAUAAAAAAAAAAAAUAUUACAUGGAAUAUAAAAAGAUAUUUCCAAGAUGGAGGAUGAAAAUAUCAAAGGUAAAAUCGACAUUGCAUAAAAUAAAGACGAAUAAUAUCUAUGUUUAAAGUAGAAAUUUGUUCAAACGAAAAAAAUUUAGAUAUUUACAUUCUUGAAAUAGUAAGGAUCAAUACGGGAAAAAGUAAAGUCUUGAUAAGAAAAUUAACUAAUACAGGAGAUCAUAGAAAAUAAUAACCUAGGUAAAAAUAUAAUGUGUUAUAAUGUAUGCAUUAAGAUGUAUCGUGGUAUACAAAUAGUAUGUUUGUAAGGUAAUUUUAUUUUAUAUCAAGAAACUUGAAAAAGGAGUGAAGAAAGAGAUAUUUUCAAGUUAAAGAACUUUUUCCCUUGAUAAUAAUGAGUAUAAUUAUAAGUUUGCCCUUGUUUGUCCUCAACUCUCCUUUUUAUAUAGUAGAAACUAGAUAUCGAAGGCUCAUGCUAGCACCAGCCUAAUGUGAAUUAUUUUUUUGCCUCAAUGUAUGUGACACACGUAAAAUUUAGAUAAUUAAUCAUAUUUUUAAUAUAUUUUUAGAUAUUUUAAGUUGUUAACUAUUGUAAUUUUAAAUAUUUUAAAUUUAAUUUUUAAAUAAUAUAUGUUAUUCUCUUUGUUCAAACUUUUAUUGCAUUGCUAGCCAAUUAUAUUUUUAAAAUAAUUUAAGUUUUGAAUUAUUGUGAUUUAUAAUAUUUGUUCUUCUAUUCUACUAAUUAGAAGUGACAUAGUAAAAUUAUUAUAAAAAAUAUCUAUGAAAAAGAUUAAGUGGGAUCAUAUAAGACGUCAAGUUAAUUUAAAAUAUCAAGAGUUAAAUUAUCAUUUUAUAUCUAUUUUAUUUUUUAUUAAAUAUCAUUAAUUUUUUAAUUUUUAGAUGACUUAUAAUAAUUAAUUAUUACUGAUAUAGUAAAAUCACGAUUGAAGCAGCUAAAACAGUCAUGUCAUUAAUGUCUAUUUUAUGUUAUUUAUUAAAUAUUUUAUUUUUAUAUAAAUAACUUAUAAUAAUUUAUUAGGGGUGAUAUAGUAAUAUUACGGUUUAAGCAGCUGAAGAAGGCAUGUCGCCCAUGAGCAGCCUGCUUUAGCUGCUUCAUUUUCAUUUAUUACAUAGGAGAAUUACUUUAAAAAAAUACUUGUAAAACAAAUUUAAGAAGACUUCAUAUAAGACGUCAAGUUAAUUUAAAACAUCAAGAGUUAAUUUUUAUUUUAUGUCUUUACUUUUUUUAUUAAAUAUUAUUAAUUUUUAAUCCUUGGAUGACUUAUAAUAAUUAAUUAAGGGUGACACGGUAAAACUACUAUUGAACCAGUCGAAGCAGACACCUCAUAAGUGUCUAUUUUAUUUUUUAAUUAAAUAUUAUUAAUUUUUAUUAUGUAAAUAACUUAUAAUAUUUAAUCAGAAGUAUAAUAAUUAAUUAGAGGUGAUAUAGUAAAAUUACAAUUGAAGAAAUUAAAAUAGACAUGUAUUUAAUUAGGGGUACAAUAAUUAAAUUAGGGCGAUAUAGUAAAAUUAUGGUUGAAGCAGCUGAAACAGACAUGUCAAAAAUGUCUAUUUUAUUUUUUAUUAAAUAUUUUUAAUUUUUUAAUACAUAAAUGACUUAUAAUAAUUAAUUAGAAUAAUAUAGUAAAAUUUCAGUUGAAGCAGCUGAAGCAGGUAUGUCAUAAAUGUCUAUUUUAUUUUUUAUUAAAUAUUUUUAAUUUUUUAAUACAUAAAUGACUUAUAAUAAUUAAUUAGAAUAAUAUAGUAAAAUUUCAGUUGAAGCAGCUGAAGCAGGUAUGUCAUAAAUGUCUAUUUUAUUUUUUAUUAAAUAUAUUAAUUUUCUAAUACAUAAAUGACUAAUACUCCCUCCGUCCCAUUUUAUAUGUCUUCAUUUGACUGGACACGGAGUUUACAAAAAAAGGGAAGACUUGAUAAAGUUUACCAAAUUAUCCUUUAUAAAAAAAUGUGUUAAUAUCUUUUUUUAAUUAAGUGGGACCAAUAAGGGUAAAAGGAUAAUUGUGUCUUUAAAAAGUUGCUUAAUAAGGAAAGGCGACACUUAUUUUGGGACGGACUAAAAAGAAAAUAAUGACACAUAAUUUGGGAUGGAGGGAGUAAUAAUUAAUUAAAGAUGAUAUAGUAAAAUAACUGUUGAAAUAGCUGAAGCAGGCAUGUCGACUUUGUACCUUCUUUAGCACUCAAACUCCCUCUUAUAUAUAAGUAAUGUGGUUUCAACUGCUAGGAAAAUUGCACAGUACAGAUAAGAUAACAAAAAUGACAUCUAUGGUCACUUAGCUUUGUGUGUACUACGUAAAAGUCAUUUUUUUAUUCAUUACACAAAAAGUUAUUUUAUUUUGUUUCGGUCAUCACAAAAGUUAAUGUGACUGAAUUUUACAAUAAUCCCACCAGAAAAAUGAUGUGGCAACCUUAAUUAAUUCUUACUUUUAAUUAAGAGAAUAUAAUGUAUUACUCAUAUCUUGAUCCUUUUUAUGUGUGCCUAAAUCAAUUUUCCUUAUGAAUUAUAUAAUGGAAGAAUAUCAAAUUCUUAAUAGAUUAGGCUACCUAGUGAAAGCUAUUUUCAUAAAAGAAAUAUUGCAUCUGUCUACCAAAAGGUGCAUUAAAAAAGAAUAAUAAACAAGAUAAAUUCUUCAAAACUCAUUAAAUAGAAAUAAGUGUAUAACUAUUCGUUUCAUUUUAUGUGGCAUGCUUUGACUAGGCAUGGAGUUUAAAAAAUAAGAAAAAAAUUGAUGAUGUUUACCAAAUUGCCCUUUAUUAAAAAACAUACAAUUACUAUCUUUAAUUAAGUGGGACUUUAUAAGUGGGAUCAACAAGGAUAAAAGUGGAUUGUGUCUUUAAAUAGUUACCAAAUAAGAAAAUGUGACAUUCUUUUUGAGACGGACCAAAAAUAAAAUGACGACACAUAAAAUGGGACAAAAGAAUUAUUAUCUUUUUAAAGAUUAUUUUAAUUCUUUGAAGAUAAAUCAACAUGCUAAAGAUAAUUUUAAAAUAAAUUUUUUUUAAUUUUGUCAUCGAAUAAGUAUUGUCAAAAUUUGUACAAAUAAUAUUAUUGAUAGUUGUGUUAAUAAAAAUAUAAGUAAUUUAAUAGAUAAAAUAAAUUAUUGAAUAUUUAAUUUUUAUAUUUAUCAUUUAAAAUAAAAUCUUUAUAAUUUUGUCAUCGAAUAAGUAUUGUCAAAAUUUGUACAUAUAAUAUUAUCAACUACAUGUCAUAAUUUGAAAAGGGAGAAAAGUAAUUUUAUCAACAACACAAUUUUAGAGGAAGAAAAUAAUUUUAUCAACUUCUUAUCACAAUUUUAGAUGAGAAAAGUAAUUACCAACUGCAUAUCACAAUUUUAAAGGAUUUUAAAAAUUUUAAAUUACCACAAUCUUAUCAAUUACAUGUCUUAUUUUAGAGGGGAAAAAUAAUUUACCAACAGAUGCCUCAAUUUUAGAAGAUUUUAAGAAAAUAAAAACAACCAUAGUGCUAUUGUGAAGACUACCAAAUUUUGGUAUCCUCCCUUAUAUAUAAGAACUAGUUUCACGAGGCCUGUGCUAAGCUCAGGCCCAAGUUAUAGAUAUAUAAUUAGAAAUUUCAUAUAAUUAUAAUAUUUUAAUUUAAAGAAACAAAUCUUAUAUCGUAUUUUCUUACUGCAUAAUUAAUAUGUAUCUCCUUAAUUUUUUCUCUAAAAAGUACAAAGUAUUUUUACUAAAUUACUCGAUAAAUAAUGUAAGGAGUAAUUUAAUAUUUCCUCUGAUUCAUAUUUUAUAAAUUUAUUUUUGCUUGGGCACACUUUUAUAAUUAUGUUUCUCCAAGAAAGUAAUUUUUUUUUUUACUAUAUUAUCCUUGAAUAAUUAAUAUCAAUUUAAUAUAAUUUCUGAAUUAUGCAAGAAUUGACUUAUCUAAAUAAGAAAAAAGGUUUAAAGAAAUUAUUAAUAUGGUCUUGACCAUGUAUAAGAUCAUUUAUUACCCCCUCGUAAAAAUUAGGGAUAGGAGAAGGGGAAAAGAAAGAGGUGGAUUAAAUUGUGGGAAUUGAAUCUUCAUCAACAAAGUGAGAGUUCAUGUAGUCAAUCAAGCUACUAAGACUCCCUAUUCCCUUGUUUCAAUUUGUUUGAUAUAUUUUUCUCUUUAGUUUUGUUUAAAAAGAAUGUUUGCUUUUCUUUUUAUCAAUUCUUUAAUUUUAACUAUCCACUUAACAUAUUUAAUACCCAACAUUAAAAAAUAUUAAUUUACAACAUAAAAUUUAAAAUUUUAGUUGAUUUUUUAAAAUCUUGCUUUAGACUAAAAUAUGUCAAAUAAAUUAAAAUGGAGGAAGAAUAUGAACAAAGGAAUAAGGAAAGAUUAAAAAAAAAAACAAAAGAAGUAAGAAUAAUCAUAGAUUGAAAAACAAGGAAUCAAAAGAAAUAAGGAGAAAACCGAUUAACAACAUCAAUAUACAACCAACCAUAGAGUUCCAUGUUAUAGUGGACAAAGAAAAUAGAAAAACUCAAAUAUGUCAUCGAAUUAUAGAAAAUGGUUCAUUUAUGUCAUUCAUUAAAAGUUGGGAAAAGGCUCAAAUAUGUCAUCGAUCUUUGAGAAAAGGCUCAUCUGUGUCAUUCAUUUAAAGUUUGGCUCAUUCAUGUCAUUGCCAUUACAAAAAAUGCUCAUUCAUGCCAUUUUUUAGCAAUCUAGUUUGGUGAUUUUUGACAAAACCAUUUUGUACAUGUGGUCACCAAUGAUUCGUCCGUGUCAUUAAUUAAAUAAGCCAAAAAUAUUAAGAAAAAAGGCUCAAUUAUAUCAUUGAACUAUUAGAAAUGACUCAUUUAUGCCAUCAGUUAAAAGUUCGGCUCAUUCGUGUCAUCGCUGUUAUAAACCAACUCAUCAUAUGAUUACUUUUUAACGGUGAAUUUUCAAAAAUAGCUUUACCAUGUGAUAUUUUAAUAGAGGUAUGCAUCAUUAAUUAAAAUAAAUCAAUAUUAGUUUGAAAAUAUCUUACACCCAUUAAAAAGAACCAAUCCAUUUAAGAUAACCCGACUCACACCCAUUAAAGUAUUUUUUUUCUACAACAACAACUAUAUUUCUGAUCAUAAAAAUUAUGAUUAGUGUAUAUCCUCUUGCCGUUUCUUAUUGAUUUUAAAUCAUUAUAAAUGUUAUGCUUAUAGAAGCCUCAAAAGUUCUAUCCUACAGUAAUUUUUUUUUUAUCCUACAGUAACUUUUUUUUUAUCCUACAGUAACUGAUUAGUUAUAAUUCCACUGACUCCAAUAUAUAUUCCAAAGUUGUAAGAAAGAGAAGCCAAUGAACGAUUAGGGCAAGCAAGAAAAAGGAGGCGUACCAAUAGAACUUCUCCAUUCACCCAUCAUACUAACUAAUUUCAGAUAUUUUGAAAUUAAUAUAGAUUUAUUUUAAUUAAUGACGUGGAUCUCUAAUAAAAGGCCAUGUGACAGAACUAUUUUUGAAAAUUCACCGCAAAUAAGUAAUCACAUGGAUGAACUAAUUUUUAUAACAACGAUGGUACGAAUGAGCUGAACUUUUAACCGAUGACAUAAAUGAUCCAUUUCUGAUAAUUCAAUGACAUAUUUGAACUUUUUUUCUUAUUUUAAUUAAUAAUGUGGACCUCAAUUAAAAGGCUACAUGACAAAGCUGUUUUUGAAAAUUCACGUUAAAAAUAAUGACAUGGAUGAGAUGGUUUUGUUAUGGCGAUGGCAUGAAUGAGCAAACUUUUAACUAAUGGAAUUAAUGAGUCAUUUCUAAUAGUUCAAUGACAUAUUUAAAUCUUUUCUAUAAGUUUGGCUAAUCUAUGUCAUCAGCUUUGAAAGUUGGACCAUCUAUGCCACUGUCGUUACAGAAAAAUUCACUUGUUCCAUUAUUUUGCAAUGGUGAUUUUGCAAAACUACUUUGCCACAUGACUUCUUAUUAGAAGUCCACAUCACCAAAUCUAACUCAACCUAUAUUAUGUAAAUCAAAAUAAAAAAUCAUACCCAUUAAAAUAAAACCUGACACGACUAAUGAAUUUGAUUUUGUUUUUAAUUAGUUCAACUUUUAUUUUUAAAAAGUUCAACUUUUAUUUUUAAAAAGUUCAAUUUUUAUUUCAACUAUGUGAAAUAUAUUUUAUUUUAAAGAAUUUUAUUUUUAAAUUUUUAAUUUUUAAUUUUAAGUAAUAUUAAUUGGUUUAGAUUUAUAAUAUGGACCUUUAAUAAGAGGCCAUGUGGCAAAAAUAAUUUUGCAAAAAUUACUAUUAUAAAAUGCUAGCAUUAAUGAACUUUCUGUAAUGACAGUGAUGUAGGUGAGCCAAACUUUCAAUGAUAGUGACAUAGAUGAGCUUUAAAUGAUAGUGAUAUAUAGGGUUGUACAUAGGUCGGGUUGGUUCAUUUUUUAUUAGAAAAAAAAAACAAACCAAUCAUGUUGGUUCAUUAAAACUAUAAACCAAAUCAAACCAACAUAAAAUUAAUUUUUUCGGUUUAGGUUUUAGUUUUUUUUUUGGGUUUUUUGAUUUUUUUAUUUUUUUGUUUUUUAAAUAAUAUUUAGUUUUUACAAUUAUAUUGUGAUCGAAGAUUAGAUCAAAUAUCUUUUCACUCAUGUGCUAAUAAAAAACCAUAAUUAUAGAGAAAUGAGGAGCGAAAAACUCUCUUGAAACUAAAAAGUGAGAUGAAGUGUGAAAAGUUUAGGUUUUAAGUUUAUAUUGGGUUUUGAAUCAUUUAAUUAGCAAUUAAUGGACAAAUAUUACAACUUAAAGGCCCAAAUCUAAAUAUAUAUCUACAUCUACUUUUAAAUUAUUGAAAAUUACUAAAACUAGUUGAAAAGGUAUUUAAAAAAUAGAUUAUAAUUAAUAUUUUACGUAUAAAAAAGUUCAAAUAUUAUAUCUAUACUAUAUUAAAAGUGUGAAGGGCCUUAAAAAUGACGUUUUGACUUUUUUUCCUUCAUUAGAAGCCUCUGCAAUAGAUAAAAAUAUGUUUUUACUAUUUUUCUUAAUUAAUUAUUUAAUUAGAUUAAAGACUCCUAAAAUAUAUGAAAAGAAUUUAAUAACUCCUAAAAUAUAUAGAAAGAAUCCUGAUAAACUAAAAAAGUACUUCAUAAUUUAAAAAUAUAAAGAAGAAUAAGUAGAAUAUUAUGAAUAAAAUUGUAGGACAAGUCAAAUUUAAAAAAGGAAGAAAUCGUUGUGCACGUAAAAAAAAAGGAGGCAAAAAAAUUUAUAUUUAAUUAUAUGAUUUAGAAAAGGAAAACUUUAUAAUUAGAAUAAAUUUAAUUUAUUUUUCCUACGCAUGAGUUUUAGGAUUUAAUAACAUAUAUUUGUUGAUUUUGAUUAUUUAAUCUAGGUAAUAUUUAUUACUUCUAAAAAUAGAAUUUUGCCCUAUAUAAAAAAUAUUCUUUAUAAUUCUAUUUAAGUAAUAUUUNNNNNNNNNNNNNNNNNNNNNNNNNNNNNNNNNNNNNNNNNNNNNNNNNNNNNNNNNNNNNNNNNNNNNNNNNNNNNNNNNNNNNNNNNNNNNNNNNNNNNNNNNNNNNNNNNNNNNNNNNNNNNNNNNNNNNNNNNNNNNNNNNNNNNNNNAGAUUAUAUAAGAAGAAUAUUAAUCAACAAUUGACAUUGAUCUCUCUUUUGAUAAUUUCUUAUGUUUCUCUUUUAGUUGAAAGUUUCUGAUCGAAAAAUUGGAUAAGUAUGCUGCCGCCGAAUGAAGUUGUCAAAAAUUAAAGGUUUAUUGAUCUUUUUUUAUUUUACUUUCUUUGCGUAAACAUGACAUAAUUUUGAUUAUCGUGACAUAAAAAGGGCUCCAAUCCCAUUUUUUUUUUUUAAAAAAAACAUAUCAAGGUCACGAAUCAGGAUAAGACGUUAAAUUUUUUUCUAUUUAUGAGUCAUGUUUUUUGUAACAUCGUAACUUUUAUGUACAAUUCAACCACUAUAGAAAUCCAUAUUAUUUGUAAGUGAGACAUAUUAAUUGUUAUUUAUGUUAAAGAAAAUUGUAAUACUAAUUGAUGACAUUAACAUAAAAAAGGCGGCUAUGGAAUAUAAUUUCAAAGAACAAAAUAAAAUCGAAGCAAAAAAGUUGUUUGUAGUAUAAUCAUUUUCACCAAUAUCACAUUAUGCAUAGUACCAUCCUUUAUCAAAGGUUGGGUUUGAUUGAGUUGGUUUUAGUUUAUAUGUAAAUGUCUUGGUUGCUUGUAAUCACAUGUGAAUAUUUGAUCUUCAUAAUCUAAAUUUAAAGAUUUGAUGAUAUAGAGCCACAUACAAAUGUAGAUGUAGGAAUUCNNNNNNNNNNNNNNNNNNNNNNNNNNNNNNNNNNNNNNNNNNNNNNNNNNNNNNNNNNNNNNNNNNNNNNNNNNNNNNNNNNNNNNNNNNNNNNNNNNNNNNNNNNNNNNNNNNNNNNNNNNNNNNNNNNNNNNNNNNNNNNNNNNNNNNNNNNNNNNNNNNNNNNNNNNNNNNNNNNNNNNNNNNNNNNNNNNNNNNNNNNNNNNNNNNNNNNNNNNNNNNNNNNNNNNNNNNNNNNNNNNNNNNNNNNNNNNNNNNNNNNNNNNNNNNNNNNNNNNNNNNNNNNNNNNNNNNNNNNNNNNNNNNNNNNNNNNNNNNNNNNNNNNNNNNNNNNNNNNNNNNNNNNNNNNNNNNNNNNNNNNNNNNNNNNNNNNNNNNNNNNNNNNNNNNNNNNNNNNNNNNNNNNNNNNNNNNNNNNNNNNNNNNNNNNNNNNNNNNNNNNNNNNNNNNNNNNNNNNNNNNNNNNNNNNNNNNNNNNNNNNNNNNNNNNNNNNNNNNNNNNNNNNNNNNNNNNNAGUUUGACUUUUUUUUGGUCAACACCAAACCAAACCAACAAUGGUCGGUUUUUUUUUUCUAACGCCAAACCAAUCAAACCAAAUCAUAAGUCAGUUUUUUUCUCGAUUUGGUUUGGUUAGUCGGUUCGGUUUGACUUGAUGAUUUGGUCUGUACACCCCUAGUGAUAUAUAUGAGUCAAACUUAUGGAGGAUGACAUAAAUAUGUUAUUUCUAAUAAUUCGAUAAAAUAUUUUAAUUUUUUUUUAAGAAAAUAAAAUAAGUAAACAAAUUACAGCAAAACAAUGAAGUGACCACGUGUAGCUUUUCCAAGAAAAUAAAUAAGUAAACAAAUUACAGCAAAACAAUGAAGUAGCUUUUCCAAGAAAAUAAAAUAAGUAAACAAAUUAUAGCAAAACAAUGAAUUGACCACAUGUAGCUUGACUAUUUGCUGUCAUAAAAGCAUAUUCCUCAUUUCCUUUUGUGAGGACGACGAAUCUGAAGAUUUUCGUUUAUAUAUAGUGUAACUAGUGUCAGUUGGAUCGUGCUAAAGCCUGAGUCCAAACUACAUGAAUAUUUAUACUUAUAAUUUUUUCUGUUUUUUGCUACUCUUAUCUUUUAUUUCUUUUUGUAAUAUUAUAGUAUUAGUUGAAAGUAGUUUUGUCACGACCCAAAAUAAAGGUCAUGAUGACACUUGUCGUGGCGGACCUGAAAAGUAAGCCUAUCACCCAAACUGAUACAAAAAGAAGAAAAGACAGAAAUAUCCCACGGUAAGGUUUCUAGAACAAAGACGAACCAUAUAAGUAAUCAUAACAAUGUGGAAAGAACUUAUCCAAAAUACCAAUCAUGUUCAAAAUUAGGUGUCAAUAGUGUAAGAACUACUAAUACAUUCCAAGAGUCAAAUGUAUCAAAAAAAUAACCACAAAGGAAUAAUAACUGUCUUCGAAUACUAAUAAAGACAUAACAACUAUAGAAAGAUAGAGGAGAACUUCGGACGCAUGAAUGUCGAACCGCUACCUUGGAAGCUCCAACAAUCGCCCGAGUCAAUCAAGCUGAGGUGCACUUGAGCUAAGACCUACACUGAAAGGGUGCAAUAGGCAUGAAUACGGUCCACUUGUACUCAGUAGGUAUCAUAGGCAGACCAAGCUAAGUAGUAAAUAAAGCACACAAAAUAUACACUAAGGACACGCCACCUGCAAUCAGAAAAUGUCCCACAAUGGUAGCCCACACCGUUUGCACUAAUAGUUCUAAUAUAUCUCACAUAUAGUACAAUAACACACCAAGGUAUAGAACACAAGUAUACAUUAUGUCACAUAUAAAUAGAAUAAGAGAGAAUGUAGAUACAAGAUCAUCAAAUACAAGUAAAGGAAGGUAAGACAAAUACAUAGAUGACAAGUCAAUAAGACAAUACAACACAACAUAAACACAAUAAAGUAAGUGCAAUGUAUAUGAUGAUGAUGCACGAGGUCAUCUCACAACCUCUGGGAUCGUCGCAAAAUCCCCGUAUACACCUACAGAGCUAAAGAUUCCCUACGUAGGUCCCAUGGGGGGUUCGUCAAUUCAUAUACAAUCCGCAUAUCUCAUAUAUCCUUUUAGGAACAUCCCUCGAAAAGGGUUUUAUAAGGUGUUACAAUAUCUUUUAAAAAGGUGUUGUCAGUGUUUCUCAGAUGUUGCCACGGUGGUACCAAUAUUUCAUGAAUGAGUAUGAUAUGAAGAUGUAAUGCACACAACCAAUCACAUCUGUGUCGAUAUUCGCUCAUUAUUUUUGUAUCAUCCAUGAAUUUUCAGAUGUCUCAUUUGCCAAUAAAGUAUGAAUAUAAUCACAAUACACCAAUGGUGCCACAUUAGCAUUUUAACAACACAAUACAAUUAUUCAUAUGUAUUCAAGGCUAUCACUAUCACAUAGGACCCUACACGGUCACACAUAUCACAUAAUAACUCAAUUUUGAUUAUUACAUCACAUAUAGGACCCCACACGGGCACAACACAUAAUAGCCAUUUUUCAUGAUUAGUUUCCACCCUUAACAUGCAUUUUGUAUCAUCAUUUACUACCCAGCCCAGUCUGAAAGAGUUAAGCCAUAACCUACCUCGAAGCCGAAACCGAUCCGCUACACUUGAACCUGCGAUCUUACUUUUCACGAACAAUUCCAAACUCUACUAAAAAUAUCAAAUAUGAAAUCUACACGUAAGAAAAACAACGACACCCAUAUUGACUACUUUUGGUUCGAAAGCAAAAUGGACCCCCAAAAUGGGUUUUCAAAAAAGAAGAUCAAAAUCGUAAAGUCAAAAACAUGUUCCCCAUAUUUUUAGGAACCUACAGCUGAAAACCCAAGUUAAAUCGAGUAAAAAAUGGGGUUCAAAUCGAAGGAAAGCCAUUUUUGAGCUUUACCGGGUAAAAUCUUUGAAAUCCGGGUUAAAAUCAAGAAUCAAAGUUGUUUUGAAGGUUAAAUUGAUGAAAAACUAGUAAUUAUAAAAAUAUUAUUCAAGUGAAAUGAAGUGAAAUUUGAGUUGAAAAUCAUGCCCUAAGAUUUUUGGGGUUUUGAGAAAUUAAUUAAGAAAUUACUAAGAAAAGGGUGAAUUCUUACAUUUAAUCCAUAAUAAAACCAAGAAAAAGGUGUUAAUCUAGCUUUUCAAGCUCCCACAAACUUUACUUUUAAGCUCCCAAACUAUUUAAGGUUUAACUCUCUAGAGGCAAGAUGAAAAAUGAGCAAAAUAGGUAAAAAAAAAAAUAGAACUAUUUAUCAGUGCAGAUUUUUUUCUACACAACUGUUUUUUUAAGCUCAAUUCGGACUUCAACGGGGUGUCCGAAAUUCGUUCAGAGUACGAUACACACAAACAAACUAUGCAACCAUACUAAAUUCGACGUUCAGGAUGCGUUGGCGAUAUCAGAUUUUUUAAACAAAUGUUGUUUUCACAAAAUUGACCCCCGAAACUCGAAAUUAUUAUUUUUCAACUCGAGGGUCAAAAUGAGAUUUAAAAGCCGUAAAAUCAUACUAAACAUGCUAACACCCUAAAAUCAAUAUUUCAAAUCUACUGGCAAAGUCGUAUUUUCCAUCCGAGGUCAUUUCGAUCAAAUGUGGGUCCCACACCCAAUCUAAAAUGAUUGUUAUUUCAUGUUGAAUUACCUUCAUUAUCUUUUUCUCAAUUAAACUUAUUGACUAAUUCAUUUUAUUUUUAAGAAAUACAAUAUUUAAGUAAUAUAAAAAAUAUUUGAUGCUACAAAUUAUUGUAUGAUUACGUCAAUAAAGUUAAUUUAUAAAUAAAGAUAACAUUUAACUUAAAUAGUUGAAAGUCUGAUUUAGCAAAAUACUUUUGUAAAUGUUUUUUCAAUGGGUCAAAUCUUACAAGAUCAUUAAAACUUCAAUUAGGGAUAAAAUAGAUUUUAAAAAGUUGGGUGUUAUCUCUUAUUAUUUUUUCAUGUAAAAGAAAUCGUUAAUUUUUUAAUUAAUUUUUAAUUUAAUUGGAUAAUAGAUCUUUUGUGGUGUUACUAUCACUUUUUCUAUGACUCAUUACUUUUUUUUAUAGCAUUUUAAAUGUCAAUAUAAUUAUUUAAAUUUACAACAACAACAACAAACCCAGUAUAUUCCCACAUAGUGAGGUCUGGGGAGGGUAGAAUGUACACAGUCCGUACCACACAUCCAAAGAAGUAGAGAGACUGUUUCCGAUAGACCCCAGCUCAACAAAAAGGACCAAGACCUUAGUUAAACAUCGCAAGCAUACAACAUGAUAAAAUAAUAACGGUACCACAACCACAAAAAGUACAUUAACUAACAAAAGGCACCCCCCUCCCCCCAACCCUAGCACUACCAACCAAGCGACACGAGACUCACCUAACUCCCGCCUAUGACUUGACCAUACCCCUUAGCCCUCUACCCUAAUACUCUUCCUCCAAACCUUCCUAUCGAGGGUCAUGUCCUCAGUGAGUCGUAAUUGCUCCAUGUCAUGUCUAAUCACUUCUCUCCAGUAUUUCUUUGGUCUACCCCUACCCUGCUUGAAACCAUCAAAGGCCAACCUCUCACAUCUAUGAACUGGAGCAUCCUUGCCUCUUCUUAUCACAUGCCCAAACCAUCUCAGCCUCCCAUCCCGAAUCUUAUUUUCCACCGAUGCUACUUCCACCCUAUCCCGAAUAGUCUCAUUCCUAACCCUGUCAGCCCUCGUGAUACCACACAUCAAAUGCAAAAUCAUCAUUUCUGCCACCUUUAACUUCUGGACAUGAGAAUUCUUCAUAGGCCAACACUCCGCGUCAUACAAUAUAGCCGGCCGGACUGCAACUCUGUAGAAUUUGCCUUUAAGCUUGGGAGACACCUUCUUAUCAUAAAGAAUUCCCGAGGUGAGCCGUCAUUUCAACCAACUCACCCCAAUACGGUGAGAGACAUCCUCGUCAUUCUCUCUAUUCCCCUGAAUCAUAGACCCAAGGUACUUAAAACUAUCCCUCUUACAAACCACUUGAGACUACAACUUCACUACUACCUCAUCCUCUUUCCUCAUAUCACUAAAUUUUCACUCCAAGUAGUCCUACUCAACUUGAAACCUUUAGCUUCUAGGGUUUGUCCUCCAAACCUCCAACUUAUCAUUAACACCUCGAUGAGACUCAUCAAUUAAGACUACAUCAUUCGUAAAAAGCAUACACCAUGGCACCUCACCUUGAAUACUCUGUGUCAAAACAUCCAUUACCACGACAAAUAAAAAUAGACUCAGAGUUGAACCCUGGUGAAACCCAGUAAGUACCAAAAAAUGCUCGGAAUCCCCUCCCACAGUCCUUACUUGAGUCUUCACCCCCUCGUACAUAUCCCUAAUCGAAUGAAUGUAUGCCACAGGGACCCCCUCACCUCCAAGCAUCUCCAAAGAACCUCUCUAGGGACUUUAUCAUAUGCCUUUUCCAAGUCAAUAAACACCAUGUGCAGGUCGCUCUUCCUUUCUCUAUACUGCUCCACUAGUCUCCGCACUAGGUGAAUUACCUCAGUCGUCGAGCGACCAGGAAUAAAACCAAAUCGAUUCUCUGAAAUUGACACUAUCUUUCUCAACCUCCGCUCCACCACUCUCUCUCAAAUAUUUAUCAUGUGACUCAACAACUUAAUACCUCGGUAGUUGUUACAACUCUGAAUAUCACCCUUGUUCUUAUAAAGAGGAAUCAUCGUGCUUUAUCUCCAUGCCUCAGGCAUCUUAGCUGACUUAAAAAUGUUGUUGAAUAAGUCAGUCAACCACCUCAACUCCGUCCCACUUGCUAACUUCCAAAAAUCCAUUGGAAUCUCAUCGGGCCCCGUUACCCUGCCUCUUCACGUCUUGCGAAUAGCCUCACAAACCUCCUCCACCUUAAAAAGCCAACAAUAGUCAAAAUCUCGAUAUUCUUCAAUGUGCUCCAACUCCCCUAGUACAAUGCCUCUUACCCCUUCAUCAUUCAGGAGCCUAUGAAAAUACGACUGCCAUCUUUUCUUAAUAAGAAUGUAAUCUACCAAAAAUCUACCAUCCUCCUUCUUAAUGCACUUAACUUGGUCCAGAUCCCGACCCUUACGCUUCCUAGAUUUGGCAAGCCUAUACAUCAUCUUCUCCUCGCCCUUCUCCUUUAGUCCCCCAUAUAAUCUCUCAAAUGCUAUUGUCUUAGCAGCAGUGACCGCUAACUUAGCCUCCUUUCUAGCUAACUUGUACUCCUCCCUUCUCACCCAUCUUUCUUCGUCAACCUUACUCUGAACCAACUUUACGUAAGCCAUCUUCUUCGACUCCACCUUCUUCUUAACUUCUUUAUUCCACCACCAAUCCCCCCAAUGUCGGCCAGACCAACCCCUCGAGGCACCCAAAACCUCUCUAGCUAUCUUCUUGAUGUAACUCGCAGUUGUAUCCCACAUACUAUCCACGUUCCCCCUAUAUUCCCAUGCCUCCAUCCUCUCUAACCUCGCUCCUAUCUCCAAAGUAGUAGCCGAAGUCAGGUCACCCCACCUGACUCUAAGUCGACCCUCCCUACCCCUUUUCUCUUUUCCCUUCUUAAUAUUCAAGUCCAUCACUAGAUGUCUAUGCUGGGUCGAAAGGUUCUCACUCGGAAGGACCUUACAAUCCUUACACAAAUCUCUAUCCCCCUUCCUAAGCAGCAAAAAGUCAAUUUGAGUUUUGGCUAACCUACUACAGAAAGUAACCAGAUGCUCCUCCUUCUUCAAAAAAUAGGUUUUCAUUACCACCAACUCAAAGGCCCUCGCAAAAUCCAAAAGAGCGGAUCCUACAUCAUUCCUAUCCCCAAAUCCAAAGUCUUCAUGCACCUCCCCAUAUCCUACCGUUAAAGCCCCGAUGUGCCCAUUGAAGUCCUCUCCUAUGAAAAUCUUCUCCGAGAUAGGCACGCUACUAACCACCUCGUCUAAAACCUCCCAAAAUCUCUUCUUCUCCUCCUCAUCCAGGCCUACCUAUGGCGCAUAAGCACUACAGAUGUUCACCGUAAACCCCCUAAUGACUAACUUAAUAGUCAUCACCCCAUCGCUAACCCUAUCAACUUCCACUACCUGCUCCCUAAGCUCUUCAUCCACUAAUAUACCUACACCAUUCCUACGCCUGUCACUACCCGAAUACCAUGACUUGCACUCAUCCAUAUCCCUAGCUUUAGAACCUACCCACUUUGUCUCCUGGACACAUGAAAUAUUGAUCCUUCUCUUCCUAAGGAUCUUAACCAGCUCUAUCGACUUACCCUGAAGGGUCCCUAUGUUCCACGACCCUACUCUCAACCUAUCAUCUCUCGAAACCCCUCCCAUAAUACCUCUGCCUCUCCACCUGACCCCAACACCGUACCCCAACCCCACAGGACAUGACCCUAUUCCACCAUUUACCCCCAAAGCCAUAACUCAAUACCGGACAACAAGAAAAUUAUUUAAAUUUACAAAAAUGAAAAUAUUGUUUUAGUUAUUGUAUAAUGGCAAGUGAAGUAAUAUUGAACUUCAUCAAGGAUAAUAUAAAAAAGGAGAUAAAAUAAAUUAAUAUGAAAUAAUAAGUUAAAACAAAUGUCAAAGGGUAAAUUUAGAAAAAGAAACCUUUUAAAGUAAUUUACGAGCAUUAGUUGCAAUCUAACUAAAAAUGACAAAAUAUUUGGAUAAGCAUUAGUUGAAAUCCAAAUACUACCAAAUCUUUAGAUUCUUUUCAUAUAAAAGAAAUCAUCAAUUUUUUUUAUUAAUUUUUAAUUUAAUUGGAUAAAUAGAUCUUUUAUGCUGUCACUCUCACUUUUUCUAUGACUCAUUACAAUUUUUAUAGCAUUUUAAAUGUCAAUGUAAUUAUUUAAAUUUACAAAAAUGAAAAUGUGAUUCUUUUCAUAUAAAAGAAAUCGUCAAUUUUUUUAAUUAAUUUUUAAUUUAAUUGGAUAAAUAGAUCUUUUAUGAUGUCACUAUCACUUUUUCUAUGACUUGUUACUUUCUUUAUUGCAUUUUAAAUGUCAAUUUAAUUAUUUAAAUUUAUAAGAAUGAAAAUGUUUUUUUAGUGACUGUAUAAUGGCAAGUGAAGUAAUAUUGAACUUAAUCAACGAUAAUAUAAAAAAGGAAACAAACAAAUUGAUAUGAAAUAAUAAAUUAAAACUAAUUUCAAAGGGUAAAUUUAGAAAAAUCAACCUUUUAAAGUACUUGAUAAACAUUAGUUGCAAUCUAACUAAAGAUUACUAAAUAUUUGGAUAAACAUUAGAUGAAAUCCAACUAAGUACUACCAAAUCUUUGGAUUCUCCCUUAUUACAUAUAUUGGUUACGUAAGGCCCGUGCUAAGUCCGGGCCCAAACUCCAAAUAUAACAAAUGUAAUUUUAAUAAAAUUAAAUAAAUAUAAUUUAUAGCUAUAAUGUAAUAUUCUAUAUCACUUUAAUUCUAGUUGUACAAAGAAAAGGAAAAGUGAGUGGUGGGCCGUCCAUCUGUCCAAACCAAAAGGAAUUAGGAAAAGAGAAUGGGCUUAGCCCAUCUGCAAGUCUUAAAAAAGAAUGAUUAAUAAGGGAAUAAGAUGGAAAAGGGGAAAAACGUAUAUAGCAAUUAUUAGAUAGGAAUUACAACUUAUACCAUAACUUUCAUUUUUUCAAGUUAUAACAAAUCUUAUAAAAAAAUGUUUUUUUUAUUUUUUUAAAAAAUACAAAAAAGUAAUUAUUGAAAAGGAAAAUAAAGAUUUAAUACAACUAAUAUGCAAUAAUCCUUCCUUAAAUAUAGUUAUCCUUAAAUUGAUAUCAAUCCACCUGAAAUUCCUCUAACCGUUUUUCUUUUCUCCUAUUUUAAUGCUUCCAUCAAGAGUUUUUAUCUUCAUACACUACCUUUUUUUUAUACACCAUUUAGUUGUUCUAGUCACAGAUUGGUAUCACCUAAAUUUAUACACUAUCUUCUUUAUGAAUUUUGAUUGCAACGAGGAACCACUACAAACACUCAACAACGACUACCAAUCGCCAAAUUAAGACCUUUCAACUGGUAAAGAUCCUCUACAGAAGUAUGAUUAUUGCUCCCUUGGGGACUGUUCCAUAAAUUGGCAUCACCUAAAUUUAAUAUCGCAAUCCAUAAAUAUCAAUUUAUAUAUCUAGUUCAUACAAAUGCAACAUGUAAGAAAACACUUUAUAAACUGAUUCCAUUCAAUUUAUAAUCUUAAGUAUAUUUUCUUAAUUGAAUAUCACAACCACAUUAUACUCAUUCCAUAUAAAUAUAACAUGUGAGAAACUAUUUUAUAAACGUUGAAUGUAAUAUUGAUUUUAUACAGGUUUCGUACAUGAAAUAAUUCAAAAAAUACAAGUUUGUAUAUUUAUUUCAUACACUAAAAUAAAUAAUAACAUAUAAUAUUUGGUGAAAGUCGAUUUCUAUACCAACUUCUUCAAUCAUUAUACUUAUUUCAUAUUGAUUUUAUAUAGAAUUCAUACAUGAAAUAGUUUAAUAAGUAUAUACAAGAUAAUUUUCACUAUAUUAUUUUAUGAAAGAUUACGAUCUAUAUUUAAAUCCUUAUUUAUGUUGUUACCAACACAAACUGAUUGUUCAAUAUUUUUUCUCUAAUAUCUAUUGACGUAUCUUUUAUUAUUAUAUACAAUGAAUAUCUAAUAAAAAAAUUGACAAUACUCUUUAUAUCAUAUUAUUUUUAAAGAACAAAAGGAAAAAUAAAAGAAAGAGAAUUUCUGAGGAAGGAGAACAAAUCGUUGGUUGGAUAAUGAUUCACAAAGGAACAAAUCGUUGGUUGAGUAUUCUAGGACUUCUACGCGAAGUAGUAGAAUCGAAUUUUGGUUUAGACAUGAUUCACAAUGGAGAAUGAAAAAAACAAAUAUAUCAAUUUUAUGUUUUUUGAAAAGAAGAUGAAUAUCAUCUUAAACCCACUUUUUUUCAAUAAAGAAGAUGAAUAUUAUAUGAAACCCACUUUUUUUCAAUCUUGUAUUUUCAAGGAAAGAAUAAUUAAAAUAAUAUAUCUUUUAAUAAGUUGCUAUAACUUGUAACUAAAUUGCUAUUAAUGCAAUUAUCUAAAAGUGUUGCUAAAAUUUGUUAUUUUAGAUCUAAUAAUAUUAUAGGGGAUAAUUUUCUCAUGGAAAAGUGACUAUCAACUUCACGUGUAAGGCAGAAAAGGGGGAAAUAGAAAGAAAGCUUCAAACAACAACUUCCUACACGAAGAAAACAACAAGGAAAUUAUUAUUUUUUCUCUUGCAUUUUCUGGAGAGCACGAAGUGGCCUCAGCUAGUGCGACAAUAGUUAAAAGAGAAGUAGAAAAAAUGAGGUAAAUUUCUUAACUUGGUCCGUAAACUUGACUCGUAUAAUUUAUAACUUAUUUUGGGGUAGAAAGUUUAAGAAUCAAGGGUUAAAGUGAUAGAUAAAUCUUUAAAUUCCCACGAAAGGAGCGAGAAUAAUAGACGAUUGAAUUGUAACUUUUAUACUUUCGGGUUUGAGAUUAAGGUAAACCCUUUCCUACAUCUUUAUUUUGAUUUUGGGUAUGAAAUUCGAUGAAUUGAAAAAUACAAUGAAACUCUGAGGGCUGGGAAGUCUGAUUGUAUCAUGAUAGCCUAAAAUAAGGAUAUUAACUCGAGAAUGGAUAUGAUAUGAUUAUAGGUUUAAUCCAAGAAAGUGAUACAAAUCGUUCGGGGUGACAAAUUUAGUAUUUCAACAAGAGUACUCUGAGUAGUAAUCUUACCAUGAUUUGUGUUUGUUAACUUGCAUAUUUUAUACUUGAUUUUGAUGAAAUAAUGAGUUAUGAAAUGCUUUGAAAUUGCAUGUGGGGCAAGUCCUCUACUUGAUAUGAUAUUGAAAUUGUUAUUUGAGAUAUGAUUUUAUUACUGUGAAUAUUCUUUACUUACAUGAGAAAUAUGUAUUUUGACAUGUGUUUUUAUUAAAGUUGAAAUGUAACAUGAUUUGAUAUGAACUUUAAAUGAUAUGUACUAUUCUGAAAAAUGCUUUCAUAUGAAUAUCCUAUUGUAUACAAAGAAUUUAUAAAUGGGAGUAGACCUUGAUUUGAAUUCCGUAGCUAACGGCGGGAUUGUUUAGACUCAUGUACCAUAUAUUUACUGAUGACUGUUAUAGCCCUCGCUAGUGGAAAGGUAGAACUAGCAUACUGAUACUGAUAUGAUAUUAGACUCCUUUAUGAGGGGUCCACUGUUAUGGAUUAUUCUUGAUGACGAAGAAUACCACACUGAUUACAUGAUUCAUUCUUGAAAACCUCCCAAAUAUGUAAUAUUUGAUAUGAUACGAUGCUUUUUGAGUUUAUUACUGAACUAUUGGUUCACUUGUCUUAUAUGACACAAUGAUAUUGUUUAUCGUUACUAUUUUCUGAAAGAGCAUUAUUUCAUGAUGUUUUAUGACUUGUCCCCAUUUAAAUGGUUGUGGUUAAGUGCUAUUACUCACUGUGCUAGCAUCUCACUCCUCGCUAUUAUUUUUCAGAGAAUGCAUGUGACGGUGAGGAUUGCAUUGGCUAGAGGAUCCGAGUAGCAUAUUUUUAGUGAGCCCCGCAAUUGUUCGCGUGGGCUAUAGUUUAUUUAUUCGUUAUGUUUCCUUUUCUUGAAAACUCUUAGUUUGCUCCAUAGUCAUGUCUUUAGAGUUUGAGUAUUCUUUCAUUAUUUUGGAUUUGUGGAGUAUUUGACUCCCUCUUAUUUUUGGAGAUGGAUUUCGUAUUAUUAGUUGGUGGUAUUGGUGAAUUGUUGAUGAUCUAUGCUGAAUUGUGUUGGUGUUUGUGUGAUGGUUAUGCUGCUGGGUUGUUUUAUUGUUGAAUUGAGACAAAGAAUUUUCUUGUUAGGCCCACAAACAGGGAAAACUCUGCCCAAUUUUCGGUAGAAUUCUGAUGAGGCUUGCUUUGGAGUCCUAAACUCCUUAUCGUCGGUCAUGAUCCUAUUCUGGGUUGUGACAUAUAAUUAAUUAUGUUUUCUUUAAAAUAAAUUUUAGUAUUUUUAAGUUCCUUAAUUGGAUAAAUUUUAAAGGAAUAAGUUAUUUAUGGAAAGCAAGUUUAGCAGGAAAAUUAGCAAAUAUCAAAUAAAUAUAAGUGAUUUGAUAUUAUAUAAAUUGACAUGAUAAAUUAUGAUAAUUACAAAUCAAUAUUUUUAUGAGCUUGUGAGCAUAUGAAUCUUCGAUAUAGAUAUAUCUCUUUUGAUAUUUGUUAAUUUUCAUUCAUUAUUUUGUAUGUCACAAUUUUAUGUUAGUUAAAUGUGAUGACUUAAAUUUAGUAAAAAAUUCAAGAAAAAUCUUAAAUUCAUUAAGAUAUAUCCCAAAAAUCAAUUUUGUUCUUUCUAUACGUAUUAUGCUUACAAAUAUUGAUUCUUAAUUAACCAAAUACGAAAUUUCUACGACAAUUCGAUAUUGACGAAUGACACUACUUCAAUUUCAACACUCUAUGACACCAUUCAGUAGAUUCUACUUUUAGUAUUUCUAAUGCAUGUUUGAUUCUAAUAUUAUUUUUGAAGACCUCAUACUAAAUAUCAAUUAAUAUGAAUAUUAUAUUAAAAUUUUCAUUUUAAUUAUUAUUGUUUUAAAGAAAUGUAAAAAGUCUAGAGUUGAUAAGUAAAAGUAAAGAUAGAAAAUACUCCUCCGCUAACAAUACUUAUCCAUGUUAUUUUUCUUCGUCCAUCUUAAUUUUUCCACUUUUUUAUUUUUGAGAUGUUAAAUAAUAUUUAUCCAGUUUAUAAAAUCAAUGGAUAAUUUUCUUCUUCUUUUUUCCAUUUUACCAUUAGCAUUAAAUAUGGUUCAUUACCUAACACAUUUUUUAAAAUAUUAAAUCUAUUAUAUUCAAAGGGUAAUAGGAUAAAAUUACCCCCCAUCAUUUAUUAUUUCUUAAUUCAUGCGUCAAUAGAAAAGUAGAUAAGUAAAGAUGAAUGAAGAAGGUGCUAAAGAUAUUGUCCAACAAUAUUUGCCCAGUUUAGAAAAUCAAUGCAUAAUUAUCUGUUUUGAUUCAUUUUACCCUUAGUUAUUAAUUAUGGUUGUUAUACAAUGCAUUUUCAGCAUUAAAUUAAUUGCACUCAAAAAGUAAUUAAGUAGCCAAAUUAACUCUAUUAUUUAUUGUUAUAUCAUAUGUGUAUCAAGUUAAUAAUGAACAAUUAUUAUUGGACAAAGUGAUUUGAAUUUUUUACACUAAAUUAUAAAUCUCUGCAAUAGAUAAAAUUAUUUAAUUUUAAAUAAUCAAACGUACUUACGAUAUUAAAAGUGUGAAGGGCCUUAGAAAUAUUGUUUGAACUUUUUGCCCUUCAUUUAAAGAUUUCGCUUUAGAUAAAAUCGUCUUUUCAUUAUUUUUAUUAUUUUAAUAAUAUUAAAUACUAAAUAUAAUAAAAAAUAAAAUCCUUUCCUAACAAAAAUAGGAUACCUUUUCCAAUUAGGGUUGCUUAUCGGUUGGAUCAGUUGGAUAAUUAUGCUUAACGGUUUGACUUUUCGAUUAGUGGUUUUUAAAUAUACUAAUCCUCUAGCCACCCAAUAAGAUAACGGUUGGUUCGGUAUAAUAUUAGUAAUUAAUGGAUGGAUAUCGGAUGGUGUAACGGAUAAAUUUAAGAGAGAAUGAAAUAUCGUCCAAUUAUUGGUAGUUCCUCCGUUUCUUCACCGACUACGUUAUUUGUAUAAUAUGAUUGAUCUAUUUAUCAAUCUUUUAGGCUUCUUGAGUUUUGUUCGUGUAGUUAUUUAAUAGGUUAAAACAUCAAAUCAAAUAAGAAUUUUCUCUAGACCUAAAAUGUAUGUAGAAACAUUUUUUAAUUACUGGAUUGACAGAAAAAAAAUUAAAACUUUAAUAUAAACUUUGUGAAGGACACCUUUGGGUUGUUUCAUUUUUAUUGCUGUCCUUUGUGUUGACAAGAAUAAUUUAUGUUUUGGUUUGAGAAUUAAUUUUAGAUUUUCUUUAUAUUUUAGGGAGUCUGACUGGACUUUAUGGUUAGAUGUCACAAGAAGUGGCAUGUUAUUUUCUAAAUGAAGAAGUGAAUAGAAUAAUAAAUAUAGUUUUAUAUGUUGGAUUUACAAAAGAUAAUUAUAUAUCUAGGGGUAAAAAUAUAAUUAUAAUAAUUCUUAAUGGAUUAACGGUUUACCCGAUAAGAAAAUUGAGUAAUUCGUCCUCGCACCAAUAAGCCAAUAAUUAUAAAAAUUUAAUCUGUUCUCCAACCAUUAACCCGAUAACUCAUCCAUAAGAAUAAUCAAAGAUUGAAAAAAAAGGAAUCAAAAGAAAUAAGGAGAAAACUGAUUAACAACAUAAAUAUACAACCAGCCGUAGAGUUCCAUGUUAUAGCGGACAAAGAAAAUAGAAAAAAACUCAAAUAUGUCAUCGAAUUAUAGAAAAUGGUUCAUUUAUGUCAUUCAUUAUAAGUUGGAAAAAGGCUCAAAUAUGUCAUCGAUCUUUGAGAAAAGGCUAAUCUAUGUCAUUCAUUUAAAGUUUGGCUCAUUCAUGUAGUUGCCGUUACAAAAAAGGCUCAUUUAUGCCACUUUUUAGCAAUCUAGUUUGGUGAUUUUUGAGAAAACCAUUUUGUACAUGUGGUCAACAAUGAUUCAUCCACUUCAUUAAUUAAAUAAGACCAAAAAAUUAAGAAAAAAGGCUCAAAUAUAUCAUUGAACUAUUAGAAAUAGCUCAUUUAUGUCAUUAGUUAAAAGUUUGGCUCAUUCAUGUCAUCGCCGUUAUAAAAUCAACUUAUCCAUACGAUUACUUUUUAAUGGUGAAUUUUCAAAAAUAGCUUUACCACGUGAUUUGUAAAGGCUCACAAAUUUUUUCAGAUUAUGCUUUACAGAAAGAUAUUAGCUAUAGUCUUCAGCUUUCAGAUUUCUGAUUUAAGAGUGAGUCAUUUCUACACUUAGAUAGUAUGAUUUAAAGAGAGAAUACAAGUACAAAUUUUAGAACUAAAUGUUAUGUCUCACUAGAUUUAUAAAGUAUGAUUUGCUUCUUAUUAUUAAACAUUUCAAUUUUCAGAUAUUUCAGUUUAUGUGAGUCAUUUUCAUUUAGCAUGCAUUGUUUUACAAAUUAUGAUGAUGAGAUAAUGUUUUACUUAUGCAUUCACCCCCAUAUACUCAGUACAUCCUCAAAGUAUUGAUCCACAUAUACGUCUAUAUGCUACAUUGUCUCAUAAUGUAGGUAUGAGUUGUAGCACGCAUACUAUAUUCAGACAGUUUGCAGCUUCUAGUCAGUAGGUGAUGAAUCCUUUUGAAUCAAGGGCUCAAUUUAGUCAUAUAAUUUGAGUAAUAUUUUAUUUUUGUUUAUUCAGUCGUAUUAAUUUGGAAUAGUUGUGGGUUAUGUACCGGCUACCUAUAGUCAAUACUAGUAGAGACUUCAUAGACAGUCAGUAGAGUUAAUGUAUUUGAUUCCAGUGUUGUUUUGUAAAAGCUGGGCAGUAAUCAUUUUAAUUUAGUUUUGUAUUGAUCAGAUUUAGAAAAGAGUUAUCUUCCACCGAUCUUAUUCAAGUUUAUGCAUUUUAUUCAGUUGCUUAUGAGUUAUGCCAGCAAAAGGGUUAGCUUGGCAUCACUUGUGGCCCUAAGCACCGUGUGACAUCUCGGGACCCAUUUUUGGGGUGUUACAGUUCACUAUGUGGGAAUCAAAAAAUAAUUAUUGAACUGUUAAGUGUAGGAGGUGGAAAUUUGGAUGUGAUUGGAUGCUCAGAGAUCGAAAAACACCAACAAACUUAUGGACUAUCGAAAAAUAUUAUGGAAGACAUACUUGUCAAAUAGGUGUAAUCCAAGCUGAUCAUUUUAACUUGGAUUCUAAAUUAAUUGCUUCUUUGUUUCUACCUUUCCUCAGGAAUAACCCUCAAUUCAAGGUGAAAGAUGUCUAGACUACUGUUGAGGUUGAAUUAAAACGUACACCUUCCUACAAAAAGGCAUGUCUUGGCCAAAGACGUGUUUUCAAAUUCAUAUAUGGAAACUUUGAUCACUCCUUCACACAACUUUCAAUAUACAUGAAUGCACUUCAACAUUUUAAUCCAGGAAUGGCAGUGGAAUGAAUGCAUGACGAUGAAUCAACAUCAGAGGUAAAUAUUUUUCAAUAUGUGUUCUGGGCAUUUAAACCUUGAAUAAAAGGUUUUAAAAGAUGUAGACUAGUCAUCUCUAUUGGCGACACUCAUAUUUAUGGAAAAUAUGAUUUAAAUAUGUUGAUUGUUGUUACUGCUGAUCCAAAUGGGCAAAUAUUUCCACUUGCUUUUGCAAUUGUCAACAAGGAAACCAAAGACGCAUGGUCAUGGUUUUUAUCAUGCCUUGGAAUUCAUUUGGUACAUGGCGGUAGAGGUGUUACAUAUAUAUCUGAUCAUGAUCCUUGAAUACUUAGAAGUUUAAUGAAUUGGUUGAGUUACAUGAGCGGAAUGCAUAUCAUCACUUUUGUCUUAGGCAUGUGAAGAGUAACUUGCUGUCUAACUUCCCUAACAUGCAACUUGAGGGAUUAAUAUGGCAGGUUGCUAUUCAACACCAUAAAUGCAAAUUUAAAGAUGUUUAUGCAAUGUUUGAAAGAUGCUGAGCCAGGUGCAUACAAUUUCUUAAUGAAAAUUUCAUUAGAAAAGUGGAUGGUUCAUCUUGUUAGCGGUAAAAGAUGGGGCAUUUUAAGAACCAAUCUUUCUGAAUCUUUCAAUGGAUUUUUAUAAAAAUCUCGAGGUCUUCCAAUUACUGCAAUGAUUAAACUUAAAUAUGAUCAAAUUGUGGAAAGAUUUGUGUCCAGAAGCAGUAUACACAAGAGCCCAUUAAUGAAAAAGAACUAUGGCCACCUAUGGUUGCAUAAAAAAAAUCAAAGUAUGAAUUGAAGUCCAAAACCAUCAGGUGAUAACUUAUAACAGAGAAACAAGGGUAUUUGAGGUUGAAAUAUAUCAUCGUCAAGGUCGUGGUGGCAGAAAACAUAUCAUUAAAUUUAGUAGGAAUAUGUGUGAAUGACAAAAGUGGCAAGCAUAUCACAUUCCAUGUUCAUAUGUGUUGAAGGUUACUGUGCAGAUGAAUAGGGAUGUACAUGAUUUAGUCAGUGAAUAUUAUAGCGCAGUGAAAUAUUUUGAGACAUAUCGAGUGUCAUUUCAAUCACUUGGAGAUGAAGCAAACUGGCCGGAAGCGCCCUUAAAAUGGUUUACAAUGAGACAUUUAUUCAAAAGAAAGGAGCUAAAAAACUACACGUGUUUCAAAUGAGAUGGACAUUGAACAUACAAGAUACUCAAAAGCUUGUGGAAUCUAUAGAAUAACAGGGCAGGCAUAGCUGUUCGAACCAAGAACGUGCAAAUAAUAAUCGUAGAUAAUAGCUUAAGUAUAUUUGUAUUUGUAAUGUCAUAUUAUGUACUUUUUGUUAUUUUCAUGGCUUAGUUUUAUCAGUUAUUCUUAUGAAUGAACACUUAACAAUUUGAAUUCAUGGUAUCAAUGUUAUCAGGGACUGUCCACAAGCUUGAGCAAUUUGAGCAUAAUCUCUUUGAGCUGAACUAAGAUCAGUAGUUAGGAGAAGAGCAAGCAUUCUUGGAUUCAAAAUCAUACAGUAUGUAUUUAAGAGGUAGAAGUACCGCAUAUAGUUAAAUUGAUAUUGACAAUUUUUUUCAAAACAAAAUGAGAAUAACUCUUUACCUAGGAAUUUUGCAAAAUAAUCCAGCAUGCGUACUUAAUGGACUUUAAGUAUCUUAGAAAUUUUGCAGCUUAAGAAAUAAUAUAAAAUUUUCAUUGUUGAAUAAAUUGUCCAUACAAUACUCGAUUUGCUAAAUGUUUUCAUUGAUAAGUAAUUUCAUUUAGCUGCUAAUAUAAAACUGGACACUAGUUAUAGAACCUGCACUAUCUCACCCCAUCACCUAUUAAUUGACAAGAGACUUUUGCUACUCUAUAUUACUUUGUAGUUUGUCACCCAAACGUUACACUUGCAGCUGCUGACCACAAAAUCAAUAGCUGCUAGCCAUAAAGUUUUUUUUUUAAAAAAAAAAUCAGUCUUUGAUAGCUCAAGAAUUAGCUAUGAUGUAACAUCAAAUACUAGACACGCCAUUAUGAAGAGUUGUUAUCAAAUACUAAGCAAACUUUUAUCAAAUAUUAGACAUGCUGUUAUGAAGAGUAUGUAGAAAAUAUAUAUGGAUAAGUUCCAUGCUAUCUAUCAUUUUUCUAGUAAUUAUAUAUAUAUGGAUACGAGCAAGUAGAAAAUAUUAGCCGUUAUACCGUAUUGCUACAAAAUUAUGCAAAACAUCAUCUGUUAGAUAAUACAAAAAAUCAAUGAGUAUCAUAACCUCUAGGAUGGAUAUCUGCUCGAGGCCUAAGCAUGUGGGGAUGUGCGGGUUUCUCGCCGUCUAUUUCAUCUGGCCUAGUCCUCCUAAUAGUCGUAGCAUCCUGGCAUCUACCUCUGCCUGGUGGCCUAUCACGUGGUCUACCACUUCUUCUACCUCCAACACCCAAUGUAUUCUCGCCAUUAUCAUCAACUUGAGACUCAAGUUCUACACCAUUAUCAUCAACUUGAAACUCAAGUUCUAGCAUAAAAGGAACUGGAUCAGUAGAAGGCAUUCUUUGUGGAUUGGGGUCUAGAAUGAUUGGAUAGUGUCUAUAAAAAUCUGAAUCCAUAAAUUCUGUGGGUUGAUAUUGCAACACUCAGCAUUUUCCGAGCACAAUCUAAGUCCCUAUACAUGGGUGUUCACAUUUAAAAUUUCUGAAACACUUAUUAUUUUUUAGUUUAGAGCCUGUCAUUACAUAGAAAAUUCAAUUAGCUUUCCAACGAUAUAAAAUUUACCUAAAUCCGAUAACCGGGUAAGAAGUUAUGGUGAUUUUAAGUUUCAGUUGUUAAAUACCGUCAUUUUACCCAUCAUCGCGUUGUGGAGCCAGUGUAAAUAUCAAUUGUCAUUUUUCCAGUGAGGGUUCGCGAUUAUGGAGCGUGGCGCCAUAGGCCCAAUUCAGAAUUGUCAAUUUCCAGUGACCCUACGUGAUACCACCACGUCACGAUGAGUCCAUAUUUCAGAAUCAAAGGGGCACACGAUUCCGCCGCGUCGUGCCAAAGGGGAAAAUUGGGAAUUUUCAAUUAAUUUCGAGAUUUAAUUCCCAAGGGCUUUUAGGUAUUUUUCCCUCAGUCUAGUCAGCCUAAACACGAGAUUAAAGCCCUAAAUGCCCUAUUAUGCCAUCAUUUACUCACUCUUCUCAAGAAAUUAAAAUAUCCUCUCCCUAAUAGCAAAACCCUAGUUUCAAGAGAAUCAACAACAAGCUCAAGAACUCACCAAGAACUCCGAUAAAUUCAUCCAUUAAGGUAUAUUAAAUGUUCAUCCAUGGGUUCCUUUCACCCGUAGAGUCAUUAGUAGCAGUCCCUAUACUCUAGAACUGCGUAGUUAGCAUAGGAUAUGAGUAGUCACCCGUCAGAUUAGACUUGACUAUCUCGCAAAGUCACGUGUCAGUUCAGGCUUGACACCCUUAGUCCUUUGGAUAUUAUAUCAGUUUAGUGGAUCCACAUAGCCAACAUUAGUACCCGUGGCACAGUAUUAACACCCUUCCAACUGGGGUUACAGGUUGGACCACGAUUAGCUCAGAUUGGGGCAUAUCGGUUUAAUGAUACCUCCCACAGUCUCAGAUACAGUCUUAGUUACAGUCUCAGUUCAGUUAUUCAGUCUUAGUGUUUCUUGAUCAAGGCAUACAGAUAUCAGUAUAUUUUCCAGUACUUCAAAGUACAGAUUUUACUCAGUCCAUGUUAUAUGUCUGGUCAUACUUCUUCAGUGUCUACAGAUUUUCAUAUAUUUUAGUAUUUAUAGACUCUCAUGCAUAUAAAGUAAUUACAUGCUUUAUAUAUCUCUAGUAGCUAUAGGAUUCAUGUCCUAUACUCAGAACUCCAUGCUUUACAUGUAUAUCCAAAUAAUUUAUUACUUCUAUUCAUGAAACCUUGCAUAUCAGCCUACCUAAUUUAGCAUACCAGUACAUUCAAAGUACUGAUCACAUACUUUUAUUUUACGCUAUGAUGUCUCAUAUCAUAGGUUUGCUGCUCAGUUCUCGAAUCGCACCUAGAUUCUCAGAUUAUCAGCAACACAGUAGUAGUGGUGAGUCCUCCUUAUCUGAGGACAGAUUACUUUACUUCAUGUCUUUAUUUCAGUAGUUAGUAGAGUUAGUUGGGGGCCUAUCCCAUCAACUCUCAGUCAGUCAGUCUUAGAGGCUUUUCAGACACUACAGUCAGUUAGUUAUUCAGUUUAUCAGUAUUUUCUUAGAUUCAAACAAUUUUUUUUCCUAGAUUUAUAUUUUAGUUUUGAAUUCAUAUAUUAAAACCUUAUGGCAUUUCAGUUAUUUUCCAUAUUCAUGACUAUAUUAUUCAGUGCUCACAGCAGGUACCAGCUCAUGGGUUAGUUUAUGGUCCCUCAGUACCGUAAGCACCGUGUAAUGACUAGAGGGAAGUCUAGGGUCUUUACAAACUUGGUAUCACAGCCUAAGGUUUUAAAGUGUCCUAGGAAGUCUGAAAGCCGUGUUAAGUAAAGUUUUGUGCAUGGGUGUAUAGCGUACCACACUUAUGGAUGAGAGGCUACAAGGCAUUUAGGAAAAGUUUCCCUUCUUUCAGUAUUCUUGUCGUACGAGUGAUCAUGAGCUCAAGUUAAACUCUUAGUCUAAUUCAUUUCCUCCUUUCAUUUACAGAACAUGCCUCCUAAUAAGAACGAAAGAAGAACAGGCACUCAGCCAGCCUUUCAGCCCGUCAGGAAGAUCCUUUGGACAAGUAUGUCUCUCACACAGAAUUCAGAGCUACGUUUACUACUUUAGUGAACUCUGUAGUAACAUAGAAUGAAUGCCCAGCUACUGUUCUGGCCAAUCUAGUGGCCAAUACUACUGCAACCAAUAUUCGAGACUUUACCCGGAUGAAUCCCCCUUCUUUCAUAGGGUCCAAGUCUGAAGAGGAUCUACAAGAAUUCUUAGAUAUGGUUAAGAAGGUAACAGAUACUAUGGGGGUGAUGUCUAGUCAGAGUUCUGAGUUGGAUACAUAUCAAUUGUUGGAUAAAGCCCAUACUUGGUUUAAACAGUGGAAAGUUGAUAGAGGUGUUGAUGCAGGCCUAUAGAAUGAGAAGAGUUUGCCACAGCUUUCUUAGACAGAUUCUUUCCAUUAAAGUUGAGGGAGGCCAAGGUAUUAGAAUUUAUUAAUUUGAGGCAAGGAAGCAUUUGUGUGAGUGAGUAUUCUCUCAAGUUCACUCAGUUAGAUAGAUAUUCUUCUCAUGUGGUAGCUGAUAGUAGGUCCAAGAUGAGCAAAUUUGUGUCUGGCAUAUCUGAUAGUGUGGUCAAGGAGUGUGGGACCGCAGUGCUGAUUAGUAAGGUGGACUUGUCUAGAUUAAUGGUCCAUGCUCAACAGAUAGAGAAGCAAAAUAUUAAAGAGAGGGAGAGGGGAAACAAGAGAGCUAGGACGGGUAGUUUUACUUUUUUUCAGCCAAAGUCAGAGGGUGGUAACCAUCCUCAGUUUCAUCACAGGUUUUCAGCCCUAGUACCUUCUUUAGCCAAUGCCCCAAUACCUAAAUUCAGAAAUGAUAAUAGGGAUAGAGCACCAGGUUCUAAGUCCCAGAUCAGUGUUAGCAGUGCUCGUACCAAUCCUUUAUGUUAGAAAUAUGGCAGACACCAUCAGGGUGAGUGUAGAGCGGGUAGUGAUAUUUGUUUCAGGUGUGGCAAGCCAAGCCAUCAGAUUCGGGAGUGUCAGGUAGUUGCUCAGAAAGGUAGAGAUGUACGCCAACAAGUCCAGUUCCAUCAGUCAUCCAUUCCAUCCGGUCGCCCAACUCAGUAGGAUGCUGCUUUCAGUGCUACCAGUGGUCAGCGUCUGAACCACUUAUAUUCUCUUUAAUCCCGCCAAGAUCAAGAAAAUUUUCCUGAUGUAGCUACUGAUACGUUGCAGGUCAUUCACUUACAUAUUUAUUAUUUACUAGACCUUGGAGCUUCUCUCUCUUUUGUAACUCCAAAUAUAGCCAUCAAUUUUAGAGUUAGUACCGACACUCUAGUAGAGCCCUUUUCAGUGUCUACCCUAGUAGGUGUUUCCAUUAUAGCCAGGCAGGUAUACAGGAACUAUCCAGUCAUAAUAUCUCAGAAAGUUAACUCAGUUGAUCUCGUGGAGUUAGAGAUAAUGGAUUUUGACGUUAUUCUCGACAUGGAUUAUCUCAACUCAUGUUAUGCCUCUGUUGACUGUAGAAACAGAAUAGUUCAUUUUCAGUUCCCAAAUGAACCAGUCCUUGAAUGGAGGGGUAGUACUACAUCUCUUAGGGAUCAGUUGAUUUCGUACCUUAGAGCGAGAAAGAUGAUAUCCAAGGGUGGUGUAUACCAUCUUGUGCGAGUUAAGGACUCUAACUCAUAAUCUCCUACUCUUGACUCAGUCCCAGUAGUAAAUAAAUUCUCAGAUGUAUUUCCUGAAGAGUUCUUCCCAAAAGGGAAAACGACUUUGGAAUAAACCUUCUCCCAGAUACUCAACCUAUAUCUAUUCCACCAUACAGAAUGGCUCCAGCAGAACUCAAAAAGUUGAAAGAACAAUUAAAGGACCUCCUAGAUAAGGGAUUAAUCGGUCCAGCAUCUCCUCGUAGGGCGCACCUAUCCUGUUCGUGCAUAAGAAAAACAGUUCCCUUAGAAUGUGCAUUGACUACCGCCAGUUGACCAAGAUCACAGUCAAGAAUAAAUACCCACUUCCUAGAAUCGAUGACUUGUUUGACCAACUUCAAGGUGCCAGUUACUUUUCCAAGAUAGACCUCAGAUCAGGCUAUUAUCACCUUAGAGUCAAAGAAUGUCAUAUUUCAAAAACUGCUUUCCAAACUUGGUAUAGUCACUUCAAAUUUCUAGUCAUGUCCUUUGGUCUUACCAAUGCCCAACAUCCUUCAUGGGCUUGAUGAACUGAGUGUUCAAAUAGUACUUGGACAUGUUCGUCAUAGUCUUUAUUGAUGACAUUCUUGUUUAUUCUCGUAGUGAAAGUGAUCAUGCGGACCACCUUCGAAUAGUACUUCAGACUCUUAGAGUUCACCAGUUGUUCGGUAAAUUCAAUAAGUGUGAAUUCUGGCUAAGAUCAGUAGCUUUCCUUGGCUAUAUUAUUUCUGGUGAUGGCAUUAAGAUGGAUCCUCAAAAGACUGAAGUGGUGAGAAACUGGCCUAGACCCAUCUCUCCAUCAGACAUCAGGAGUUUCUUAGGUUUAGUUGGCUAUUAUCGUCAGUUUGUUAAAGGAUUUUAUUCUAUUGCGUCCCCCAUGUCCAGAUUGACUCAGAAAAAAGUCAAGUUUCAAUGGUCAGAUUCUUACAAGAAGAGUUUUCAGAAGUUGAAGACUCGACUCACCUCAGCCCCAAUUCUUACUCUACCAGAUGGUUCUGAUGGGUUUGUUGUGUACUAUGAUACAUCCAGAGUAGGUUUGGGUUGUGUCCUCAUGCAGAAAGGUAAGGUCAUAGCCUAUGCCUCCAGAUAGCUCAAGCCCUAUGAAAAGAAUUAUCUGACUCAUGAUCUUGAGCUAGCAGCUGUAGUGUUUGCCUUAAAGAUUUUGAGGCAUUACUUGUAUAGGGUGUAUGUAGAUAUGUUCAUAGAUCACAAAAGUCUUCAGUAUGUCUUUUCUUAGAAAGAUUUAAAUUUACGUCAGAGAAGGUGGUUAGAGUUAUUAAAACAUUAUGACAUAAGUGUUCUGUAUCAUCCAGGCAGGGCCAAUAUAGUGGAAGAUGCUCUCAGUAGAUUGUCUAUGGGUAGUGUAGCUCAUGUGGAGGAUGGUAAGAAGAAGUUAGCUCGGGAAGUUCAUCAGCUUGCCCGACUAGGUGUUCACUUAGUCGAUUCAUCAGAAGGUAGUAUAUGGGUACAGAGUAUCUCAGAAUCAUCUCUAGUUUCUGAGGUAAAGGAAAAGCAGGAUAGAGAUUCCAAUUUAGUUAAGUUGAAGAAAUCAGUCAGAGAUCAGAAAGUGGAGGUUUUCUUCCAAGGGGGAGAUGGUGUGUUGCGCUAUCGGGAUAGAUUAUGUGUGCCUGGUGUAGAUUAUUUGAGGAAAUGAAUUCUUGCAGAAGUGCAAGGUGCACAUUAUUCUAUUCAUCCAGGGGACACCAAGAUGUACUGUGACUUGCGGGAGAUAUAUUGGUGGAGUGGGAUGAAGAGAGAUAUUGUAGAGUUUGUAGCUAAGUGAUCUACAUGUCAGCAAGUUAAGAUUGAACACCAAAAUCCUAGUGAGUCCGUGCAGGAGUUCAGUAUUCCCAUGUGGAAAUGGGAAGAAGUGAACAUAGAUUUUGUGAUAGGUUUGCCUCAUACUCGUCAUCAACAUGAUUCUAUUUGGGUUAUCAUAGACAGGAUGACCAAAUCAGCUCAUUUCUCUCCAGUCCAUACCUAUAUUCAGCUGAGGACUAUGUCAAUCUAUAUCUCAAGGAGUUGGUUAGGUUGCAUGGUGUUCCCUUAGCUAUCAUCUCGAAUAGAGGUACCAAGUUUACCUCUCACUUCUAGAAAGCAUUCCAAAAGGGUUUUGGUACCCAAGUCUACCUCAGUACAGCCUUCCACCCUCAGACAGACGGUCAAGAAAAAGGACCAUUCAGAAUCUUGAGGAUAUGCUGAGAGCAUGAAAAGUUGGAUUUAAAGGUAGUUGGAAUAACCACUUACCUUUGAUUGAGUUCGCAUACAAUAACAAUUAUCAUUCCAGUAUCCGUAUGGCUCCAUUUGAGGCUCCCUAUGGCAAGAGAUGUAGAUCUCCAAUUGGUUGGUUUGAAGUAGGUGAGGCUGCAGUAGUAGGGCCUAACUUAGUGUUUGAUGCCUUAGAGAAGGUUCAGUUAAUUAGAGAAAGGCUUAGGGUUUCCCAGAGCCGACAUAAAUCGCAUGCAGAUAUGAGAAGAAAAGAUCUUGAUUUGAGGUCAGUGAUUUUGUGUACCUGAAAAUCUCUCCCAUGAAGUGAGUGAAGAGAUUUGGCAAGAAAGGGAAACUCAGUCCCCGAUAUGUCGGCCCCUUCAUAAUUCUCAGUCGUUUUGGAAAGUUAGCUUACUAGCUUGAGUUGCCUUCAGAUUUAGUCUCAGUACAUCCGGUGCUUCAUGUCUCAUUGUUGAAAAAGUAUAUUGUUGAUUCAGCUGUAGUUGUUCCCUUAAAGAGUGUAGAUAUUCAGAAUAGUCUUUCCUAUGAGAAAGUUCCAAUCGAAAUUCUCGAUCAUUAAGUUUGUAGACUAAGGAAUAAAGAAGUUCCACUAGUCAAAGUUCUUUGGCAGAACCAGUCCGCUGAGGGAUCCACUUGGGAAGCAGAGGCAGAUAUGCGGACCAAGUACCCUCAUCUUUUCUCCGUGAAUGCAGAUUCAGUUUAAGGUACCAAUCCUCUUAAGAUUUUUCUCUAUUAUGCUCAAUUUCAGCCGCACAUCAUGUUCAUGUCAGUCGUGCAUUCAUGAAUCAGUUCAUUCAUGCAUUCCAUGCAUCAGAUAUGUAUAUUCAGUGUGUAAGCUCAGUCCAUCAUUUUCCUCAGCUUAACCAGUUCAUUCGGGGACAAAUGAUCCCAAGGGGGAGAUAUUGUAACACCCCGCAUUUUCCUAGCAUAAUCUAAGUCCCUAUACAUGAGCGUUCACACAUAAAAUUUCUGAAACACUCAUUAUUUUUCAGUUUAAAGCCUGCCUUUACGUAGGAAAUUCAAUUAGCUUUCCAAUGAUAUAAAAUUUGCCUAAAUCUGAUAACCGAUUAGAAGUUAUGACAAUUUUAAGUUUCAGUUGUUAAAUACCAUCAUUUUACCCAUCAGCGCGUUGCAGAGCCAGUGUAAAUAGCAAUUAUCAUUUUUCCAGUGAGGGUCCGCGAUUAUGGUGCGUCGCGCCAUAGGCCCAGUUCAUAAUUGUCAAUUUCCAGUGACCCUACGCGAUACCACCGCAUCGCGAUGAGUCCAGAUUUCAAAAUCAAAGAGGCACCGCGAUUCCACCCCGUCGCGCCAAGGGUGAAAAUCAGGAAUUUUUAGUUAAUUCCGAGAUUUAAUUUCCAAGGGCUUUUAGGUCUUUUUCCCUCAUUCCAGUGAGCCUAAAAACGAGAUUAAAGCCCUAAAUGCCCUAUUAUGCCAUCAUUUACUCACUCUUUUCAAGAAAUUAAAACAUCCCCCCCCCCCCUAAUAGCAAAACCUUAGUUUCAAGAGAAUCAAGAACAAGCUCAAGAACUCCGAGAAAUUCAUCCAUUAAGGUAUGUUAAAUGUUCAUCCAUGGGUUCCUUUCACCCAUGGAGUCUAAGUAUCCGAUUUUAAUUAAAAAGUUAUCAUCUUUUCAAGAUUCAUGAUAUUUAAUUGUGAUUUUAAACCAUGAGUCUCCAUGAACUUCCAUGAAUAUUAAUUUUAUACCUUGUUUUAAUGAGAUUAUCAUUGAUAUAAAUUCCCACAUGUCUCAAUAUCAUCAUUCUUCGAAUUAACUCAUGAUUAAGUGUCAUUGGUGUUGAAAUCAUGCUAUUAUUUAAAUUUUAUGCUAGUUUUUCAUGAGUGGCUUAAACUAUGAACACCAAGUGUUUGAUAAAAUGCUUACACGAAUGAAUAUUUGAUAAAGGGUUUCAUGCUAUGUCCUCUAAGCUUGAUAUUAUUUUACUAUUAUUGCUUUUGAGUCCUGGGGGUAUUGAAUACCCGAAAACCAUAGUUGUUUUAUUUGUCUAGUCUCAGUACAUUACAGAAUAGUCUCCAGAUUAUACUAUGAGCAUUAUCAGAAUAGUUAGAUAUCAGUCAUUAAACUCAGAACAGUCUAGUAUCUCAGUGUCUUUCAGUUAGGAGUAGGACUUAGCAACGAGCGAGUGUAGGGAUGGCGGCUUCCCCGUCAGAUAGGCAGAGUCAUUAGUAGCAGUCCCUAUACUCCAGAACUACGUAGCCAGCGUAGGAUAUGAGUAGUCACCCGUCAGAUUAGGCUUGACUAUCUCGCAGGGGCCACCCGUCCGUUUAGGGUUGAAACCCUCAGGUCUUUGGCUUGACACCCUUAGUCCUUUGGAUAUUAUAUCAGUUUAGUGGAUCCACACAGCCAGCGUUAGUACCCAUGGCAUGGUAUUAAUACCGUUCCAACUGGGGUUAUAGGUUAGACCCAUAUUAGCUCAGAUUGGGGCAUGUCGGUUAGAUGAUACCUCUCACAGUCUCAGAUACAGUAUCAGUUACAGUCCCAGUUCAGUUAUUCAAUCUUAGUGUUGCUUGAUCAAGGCAUACAGAUAUCAGUAUAUUUUCCAGUACUUCAGAUUAUAGAUUUUACUCAGUCCAUGUUAUAUGCCUAGUCAUACUUCUUCAGUGUCUAUAGAUUUUCACGUAUUUUCAAUAUUUACAGACUCUCAUACAUAUAAAAUAAUUACAUGCUUUAUAUAUCUCUAAUAGCUAUAGGCUUCAUGCCCUAUACUCUGUACUCUAUACUUUACAUAUAUAUCUAGAUAAUUUAUUACUUCCAUUCAUGAAACUUGCAUAUCAGCCUACCUCAUUUAGCAUACUAGUACAUUCAAAGUACUGAUUGCAUACUUUUCUUUUGCGCUAUGAUGUCUCAUAUCAUAGGUUUUGAUGCUCAGUUCUCGAAUUGCACCUAGAUUCUCAUAUUAUCAGCAGCACAGUAGCAGUGGUGAGUCCUAAUCAUUCGAGAAUAGAUUACUUUACUUCAUGUCUUUAUUUCAGUAGUUAGUAGAGUUAGUUGGGGUCCUGUCCCAUCAACUCUCAAUUAGUAAGUCUUACAGGCUUUUCAAACACUACAGUUAGUUAGUUAUUCAGUUUAUCAGUAUUUUCUCAGAUUCAGACAGUUGUUUUUCCUAGAUUUAAAUUUUAGUUUUGAAUUCAGAUAUUAAAACCUUAUGGCAUUUCAGUUAUUUUUCCGCAUUCAUGAUUAUAUUAUUUAGUGGUCACAGUAGGUACCAUCUCAUGGGUUAGCUUGUGGUCCCUCAGGACCAUAAGCACCGUGUAACGACUAGGGGGUAGUCUCGGGUCGUUACAUAUAUGGCGAGUGAGGUGAGUACUGAUACGUGAUGCACUCUGGCCGAUACAAAACUAAUUGUGUAUCAUUCAAGUUAUAUUUUGUCUCACCAAGAUAAUGCGAGCUAGAAGCAUGUGUGUUCACUGGAAUGCCACUGAAGUGUUGUCCAAAAGAACUUGAUGGCCUAUCAGAUGAAAUAUGGUCAUGAACAUGAGUCAAUCGGGUCCCUGUAGCCUCGCCUUUAUCAUAGUUGGGUCUUUCUUCCCAUCGUCUGCCUCUACACCUCAAUUUUGGCCGAGGUUCAACAUACUCAUCACCGCGAGGAUAUUGAACCUCAAUGCGGCCCCUACCUCAUUCACUCGUAACUCUAAAGGAAUUCAACACCAACUUAGAUAAUCUAUCUCCAUGCUUUAACCCCUUUUAACUCGAAGGGUUUGGAAAAUAUUGAUUUUGACUUUUUAAACUAUUUCAAAACUUUAAAGAAUUCAAGAAAAUUUUAAAACAAUCUAAGAAAUUAUAGAGUCGCCACUCAAUUUAUUGGAAAAGAAAUUAAGAAAGCUUUUUAAAACAAAUUCCUAAGUCUUAAAACAGAAAAAUACUUAGGCUUUUACGAAAAUCUUGGGUAAGAGGUUCUUAUUAAUAUUUUAGGAAGGUUUUUAAGACACCUAAAAUAUUCGCUAACUUGCGGCUAUCCAGGCUAUUUGAAAACCAUCUUUGACUAACUUUGAGAACGAGAGGUUGGUUUUUGAAAAGAAAGUGAUUUAGGACGAAACUUGUAUAAAAUAAAUUUUUGAUGACUUAGUAGAGAAUUUAACCAAGUCUAAGAAAAUAAAUAGCAAAUAAGAACGUAAAGAGUAAAGGGGAGAAUUAGAAGACUUAGGCUCGUAAGCCCAAACCCAUCAACCCUAUCCUAAUCUAAUUGGGAUUUUGGCCCAUAACCUGCCCUAAACUAUUUUUUCGGGUUCAUUAGCCCAGAAUUGGCUUCACUUGUAUUAAAAUACAACUUUGGUUUCGAGGCUCCAAAUGAAUGAAUAAAUAAAAAGAAGACAAUAAUAAAAAUCGAGACUUUUCAAGUCUCUUAGUGACUGCAUCAAUGGGUUUUGACCCAUUUUCCUCCUUCAUCUAUCUUCUAGCACUCGCAUGCCAUAUAGUCGACCUUGGGUUUAAACUUCGAACUUGACUCGAAGUGGUAGGCCUCAUUAGACCAUUAUGAAAUGCAAGAGGAAAGGAGUCCAUUUGAACUCAAGACAUUUUUUGCAUGCAAAGAAUAGAUAAAGAAAUUAAUAUACAUUCAAGGCGUAAAAGUGACAUAUUUCAAAGAAAAAGAAAAUAUCAAGAACUAGUUUUGAAUUACAAUGAUAAGCACACUUGCACACGUAUAACAAGAAUGUGAGUCAACAGAUAAAAUGCAAAGCAAAGACACCCACUUACAUACCUCAUGCUUUAUGUUCAUAUUAAGAAUGAAUAAAGGUAAAAGGAAGAAGGCCAUAUUCAAUGAAUUCAAACAACGCAAGCUUGCGAAAGUAAAGGGAUGAGGCAAUAAGAAAAAUAACCAUGACUUCUAAAAUUAAACAAACAUAGAAACUAAUCCAUAUAACAAAAUAAAAUAAAGGCUAACUUUUCAAGAAAGGGAAUCUUUAAAUUUCAAUUAAAGCAACAUUAACGAAGAUUCAUACAUUUAAAUUACAACUAACACUUUAGGAAAAAAUGCGUAACGACCUAUGGUUUAUCUUUCUAAGACAUCGUUGAUUCUCUUUUGAUAUUAUGAAUUAAAGAGAGACACAAAUCAAGUCUUUACACACACAAAGAGCACAUAUAACAAUCCAAAUGAGGNNNNNNNNNNNNNNNNNNNNNNNNNNNNNNNNNNNNNNNNNNNNNNNNNNNNNNNNNNNNNNNNNNNNNNNNNNNNNNNNNNNNNNNNNNNNNNNNNNNNNNNNNNNNNNNNNNNNNNNNNNNNNNNNNNNNNNNNNNNNNNNNNNNNNNNNNNNNNNNNNNNNNNNNNNNNNNNNNNNNNNNNNNNNNNNNNNNNNNNNNNNNNNNNNNNNNNNNNNNNNNNNNNNNNNNNNNNNNNNNNNNNNNNNNNNNNNNNNNNNNNNNNNNNNNNNNNNNNNNNNNNNNNNNNNNNNNNNNNNNNNNNNNNNNNNNNNNNNNNNNNNNNNNNNNNNNNNNNNNNNNNNNNNNNNNNNNNNNNNNNNNNNNNNNNNNNNNNNNNNNNNNNNNNNNNNNNNNNNNNNNNNNNNNNNNNUAAGUACAUCUUUUAAGCAAAGAUUGAAACUUUAUCUAUAAUAAUCGAAGAAUAAAGUCAAAAAGGAGAAACAAUCAAUAUUAACUAUUCUUUUCAACAUAAAGGAAACAACUUUACAUGCUAAAUGAAUUUAAACAAAGCAUAAGUAUAUAUCUUUUAAGCAAAGAUUGAAACUUUAUCUACAAUAAUCAAAGAAUAAAGUCAAAAAGACGCAUACAACUAUUGCUAGCUCAUUUUUAUACCAUGAACAUGAAAAUAACCGUGAUAUCGAUACUACAACAUCCUAUGGCCUUCAAGGCUGUCUACAACAAACAAUUCCAGUAAACAAAAUUAUAAGUACGAACUACAAAGAAGAAAAAGAUGAAGAAGAAAACAAUAAUAAAACUAAAAAAAGGUGUGUUUACCUUUUUUGGUGCAGCAAAAUGGGACUAUAAGUUUUUUUCGGAGUCUUGAUCACCACCGAAAAACUUUCAACUCGAGAACUUCGAUUACCCCACGAAUUUCAUGGAAAAGAAAAUUUUUUACUAAAAUAAAAACUCUUCUUUGCUCAAAGUUUUUUUUCCAACCUCGAGACUUGGUCUUUCUACUAAAAUAGUGAUAGUAUUUAUAUGAAAGGAUGGGGAUUCCAUUUUUUUCAUUCACCAAUGUAGGAGAAAGAAUUUAGGGGUGUUUUUGGAAUUUUAAAAUUGAAUAUAAAGUGAGGAAGAAAUUGUAUAAUGUAAUAUAUUUUUUGAAUUUCAAAAUUGAACAAGGACAAGGUUGAGGGGGGAAUUGUACAAUGUAGUAGAAUGUACUUGAAUUUGGAAAAAGAAAAGGUUUGAAGGGGGAGGGAUUGUACAAUGUAGUAUAAUUUUUGAAUUUUAAAAUUUAAAUUUGGAAAAAGAAAAAGGUUUGGGGUAAAUUGUACGAUGUAGUACAAUUUUUGAAUUUCAAAAUUGGAAAAGGACAAAGUUGGGGAAAAUUGUACAAUAUAGUACAAUUUUUGAAUUUCAAAAUUUGAAUUUGGAAAAAAGAAAAGGUUGGAGAAAUUGUACAAUGUAGUACAAUUUUUUAUUUUCAAAAUUUGAAUUUGAAAAAAAAAAGAAAAGGUUGGCAGGAUUUGUACAAUGUAUUAUAAUUUUUAAAUUUUAAAAUUGGAAAAGGACAAAGCUGAGGAGGAAAUUGUACAAUGUAGUAUAAUUUUUUAAUUUCAAAAUUGGAAAAAGGACAAAGUUGAGGGGGAAUUGUACAAUCUAAUACAAAUUUGAAUUUUUUUUGUGGACACUGGGUAGAAGUUAUGAAAGUUUUUGGUAAUUUUGGGGUUAUUUAAAAUGUAACCCAAUUGAGAUUUAAAAUUUAGCCAAAUUUAUAAAUUUUGACUAAAUCAAAAAUCAAUUGGCGGAUUGCAUUUCAAUUAUGGCCAAUUUGAUUUUAGUUAUGACCAAAUCUAGUAGAUCGGCUAAAUUAAAUUGAAAUUCGAUACGAAUUAAUACUUUGUUUAAUCCCGAGCUUCUUGAUGAGAUAAAACCAAAUAAAUAUUCGUUCAAAUAAAUUAUUUUUAGGAACAAAAUAUAUUCAAAUCAUGGUCUUACCCCUUUGAAUUAAUUUUUCAAGAAAAGGCUUGAUUAAAAUUUGAUAUCUCGUAAAAUAGAUAUUUAUAUAACAAACUUAUUUAAUUUUGUAUAAUUGAAUAAGAUAAUAUAUAAUCGCUACUUAAAAUAAAUUUUUUUUUUUUUUGAUAAAUGCUUUGAAACGCCUUUAUCCGAAAAAAUAAAAAUAUUAUAAUUUUAUUUAAAAUCGAAGAAGCUCGGAAUUAAACUUAGUUGUGGAGGGCAAAAAUUAAGUGUCAACACUCCAAAUUCACGAAGUUUAUUAUUGUCUCUAUCCCGUACGCUUAAACUUGUUCUAUAUAUCUGAUGCAAAGUCCUAGCCUACAAAAUAAAUGAUUAAACAAACAUUAAUAUGAUAAUCUAUAACAACAUUAAGAUGCAUAAACUCUAAACAACUUAGUUUACACUUCCUAAUUACCUAUUUUUUAUUUUUCAAUCAAUUAAACUUUCAAAUAACAACCUCAGUAAGUAGCAACUACGUCAAAAGCUAACACAUUGUGAUUUAUAACACAAAAUGUCUUUUAUAUUGUCAAACAACACAUAACGUCAUGGCCUACCAAAACUUACAUAAGGAAGCUAAAACUACAACAUAUUUAUGUAGAUAAUUAUAAGGUAAUAUUGUACCAAAUAUUUGUAUUUGCCUGCAAAACUCUGAUAACCUUGUCUAAAUUGAUGAGAUGGAUUAUUGAUCAAAUGACGAGUAAUCGUGUUAUACCACUGCACAUAUUCAUUGUCAUCUUUGAGACAUCAGGUUCAGCAUUGUGAUUUUGUUUAUCCCUCUAGAUUUCAACCUCUUUGAUAAAAAAAUAAUGCCAAUUAAAGUUAGUUCUACCUCUCUGAUCCAACUGAAAAUGUUUGGGAUCCCACAAUAUUCUACUUGGAAUAUUCUAAAUCAAUCCAAACUGACAUAGUACCCUAUCUGGAUAGUGCCACUCAACUGCAUCCCAAGAUAUUACGGGUAUAAUAGCACUCCAAACACUGAAACCAUUCACACAAUAAUCUGGUAAUGUAGCAAAAACAUCGGGACUGUAUGGCUGCCACGCAAACUAUAUAAAUAUAAAUUUAUUUAGUUUUUACGACUUAAAAUAUUAAAAUAAGAUAGAUAAAGCUAUUAUUCAAAAGAAAAAAAUACCUGGUGUUCUAUAAGUAAAUCUAGUUGAUCACGAAAUAAAUAUAAUAGGUGAGGUGCUUCUGUAUCGUGGCUUAACCAAUUAGACCACACACGAGCACGUGGUGGUUCUAGAAGGAUAGAAAUAAGCCACUCGUCAACUAGAAGAUUAGGAUCUCUCCGUGGCCUGAGAGGCAAAAUCCUCUCAUAUAUCCAUACCUUCACAUAUUUAUAUAAAUACAAUAAAUAAAUAUUAAAAAUUUAUUUCUUUAAGGAAAUAAAUUAAAGUAGCUAACCUGAAGUAAAGGUAAAAAACCACCAAUGACUCUAAUUCCCUUUUGCGAUGCACAACAAAGAUAUCUAUAAAGUAUUGCAAGUGUUGCUGCACCAGAAACAUAUUGACCAACUUUGGACAAAUUCGCAAGCAAAUGUAGAUACAUAAACUUGACUUUGUUGCUCGAUAUAUCAACAGAAACCAUGCCUCCAAUGAUCUACAACAAGUAAAAACACACCCGUUGUUGAACAUCAACCUCACAACUUGCAUCAGUAAUCAAAGGAAGAUUUGUAAUAUGUUUAAUCAAAGAAGUCAUAAGCAAUCUGCCACCCUGAAAUUCUCGAUCAAUAUCUACCGCUGUCUAACCAAGAAGAUCAACUAUACGUGUGUGCCACGCUGUAGGGUCUAAGGAAAGAUUUGUUCCCGUCAUAGGUGAUCUAUCGACUGACAGCCCAUAUAAUAUAGCUACGUCCUACAAUGUAAUUGUGGCCUCUCCAAAGUUUAGAUGAAAUGUGUGUGUUUCUGGUCGCCAUCUUUCUACCAACACAAUAAUCAUAACGUGAUCAAGUGGCGUGUGUCCAGCUGCAUAUAUACCAUAAAAUCCAGCAUCGAGCAAGUAACGACACAUAUUCUCGUGUAAUGAAUUUUACUUAUGUAGUCCCAAAAAUCACCUUCUUACCAACGACAUGUCAAUGUGUCACAUGUACCAUUAUUUCAAAUAUCUUCACUACCAUGACUAAUCUGUCCUGUAAGGACAAUCGAAAUAAAUGAAUUUGGAUGCACAGUAGGUGGUGUCAUAAGACCUAAAAUAUAAAUUAUGUGUUUGUUUAAUUCAAAAAUCAUUUAGUAUGACAAGAUAAAUAGUGACAUUCACAAAGACUAUCUUAUUAAAAAGCACUAAGGCCAGACUAGAAAAAAAAUGAAGUUAACUGAUUUCUAAGAGAACUUUAAAUAAAUCAAUAUUACAAAAAUAUUCUAUAAAAUACUAUUUGUUAUAUUCAUAUUCUAUAAGAAAAAAAAAUAAUAGUAGCACAAAAAUAUUAUAACGAAAAAAAUAAAUUUGAUAAAAGAUUACUAAAUAAAUUUUAAGAGUAACUACGAAUAAUGUAAGGAUAGAGUUACCUUUUUUAAUUUGGAUGAUGAUUAAUGUUCUAAAUUCCCAUCUUUCAAAUAAUAUUGUGAAGUUUUAUACUUUAGUGUGUUAAAUAAAGUUUGUAGGGUCUUAUCUUGGAGAAAACUACAAUGGUGAAGAUGGGGGACCUCAGGUAAAGUUGAGAUUUUAUUUUAGUAAAGUUGAGAUGAAGUGAAGAUAAAGAAUCAUUUUUAAAAAUAACUCUUAAGGGUGUUUUUGUAAUUUGAUUGGAAAUGCAUUGCUAAGAUGAGUCUAUAGUGUGUGAGAAAAUGUUCCUCUAUUGUCCCAUCAAUUCAGAAAAUGACGGUCUUUUCAGAUUUUGGGAUGAAAAAUUUAUAUUGAAGGUGCAUUGAAAGAAAUGAGUCUUUCUUCAAAAUGUAAAAUUCACACAAGGCUCAUGACUACUAAUGAGCCUUUCUUUGAAAUGUUAAACAUUCACUGAAGACUCGUGAGAGUAGAGAACCUUCAGUGUAAAUACAUUUAACGGUUCGUCUAUUUUUUAACGUAAAAAUUACACACUGAAGGUGCUCCAUACACCAUGCGUUUUCACCAUUUUAGUCAUAAAAAAUAUGACAACUCCAUUUAUUGGAAUUGUCCCUUAUUUAACACUAUUUUAAUCUAAAAUUCAUAAGAAAAGCUCCACAUUAUUAUCCCUUUCCAUCUCCAAUUGAUUCCUUGGGUGCAAAAUUUUCAUCCUUCUUGAAUACUUUUCUCAAGGUGGAAAAAUUAGAUCAAUAUAAUAUGUCCAACACGUUUAAAUUUAUGUGGGUUAUUGAUCCACUUUAAUUAUUAGUUCGGCGUAUUUUGACUUAAUUUAUUUUAAUUCAUAAAAUUAGGGUUGAUAUGUCAUAAGAAAUUUUAUUAAAAUAUUUUGAACUCAGUCAAACCCCACCAUAUCAGACGAAUUUAUACUUCUCAAAGUAUAGGAUGUUUUUUGUUAGUAUUCAACUUUUUGAUUAGUAUUUUGAAGCUAAAAUCCUAAUUUUUGACAAGUCUCCAAGACAAGCCAGAAAUUAACGAGGCAUUUUUUGCCUUCAUUUAAACUCCUUCUAGUCCUCAUGGUUUUAGGUUUGGCAGCACUAUUCCAAUUAGGAAGGUGUGUUUUUAUUUUUUUAAACAUAUAGAGGGUACUAAUAUUUCUAGUCUUACAGUUAGCAAAUCCUAAUUUUUGGUUCUUAAGAACCAAAUACUUAUGACUUUUAUUUUUACUAAACAAGAAAAUAUAUCAUAUUUGUAUUAUGUCUGAAAUUAUUUUAUCCUCAAAUAUGGAAUAACAAUACAAAUUUAAUUAAUAUAAUUUUUGUAAUCAUUGAAUGGCACUAAUAUUAAUGAUUUAGUAAAUUUGUCAAGAUUCAUAAAUAAAGAGAUGAAAAGUACAUAUGUUAAGAGAAAUUAUUUUGCUCUCAUUUUGCAUGUGUUUUUUGGUGUAAAUCCUACAAAAUGCCUGGACCUGCCUAGAAUAUAAACCCCCUAUUCACUUUUUUACCUUAUCUAUAACUUCGGUUCCAUAAUAUGAUAGAUAAACUGAAAGGCAAACUAAGAAAUUAACAUUUGGAGAACAAACGCAAUAUAUUCAAUAUUUUUCAUUUGAAGUGUGACAAACAUGGCAUUGGUAUAUUUUUAUAAAUAUAAUACAUUCUUUUCAAAAGAGAAAAAGGGAUCAUGUGACAAUUGAACCACACGGGUCUACUAGAAAAGAAAAAAUCGAAUCACAAGAAUCGUAGCUUUACUCUAUAUUUCUCUAAGAGAUUAUAAUUGCAGCUCAAACUUGUGACUUUUAUAUUACAUGAUAACAACUUUACUGAUCACACCAAACCUCCCUUCAUGGGAACAGGUACUCCCAAUAGUUUUAUUUGCACUCUCCUUCAGCAUCUCAAGGUGCAGAUAACCAACACCAAUAUCAACAAACUCAUCAUGCAUUUCAUUCCACUCUAUGUUUGGGUUCCACUUUGCGUUAAUUUUUACAUUCGAGAUUUUACUUGGUGGAUAUAUGCUCAAUGGUGGAAUAUAGCUUCUCUAAAUAUACUUUUGACUAUACUUUUCAAGCGAUUUCUAGAAUUAGUAUAGCGUUAGGCCAAAUUUUUUAUAUUGAUUUAAUUCUAGUUUCAGCUAACAAUUGACGAAUAUCAUAAUAAUUAUUCCAUUCAAACAUUUAUAACAUUCCCCAUGCAUAAUACAUUAUUACAUAACACACUCAAAAACCUUCUACAACAUAGCAAACCCUAAUUGCUAGAAAAAGACAAAACCUUCCUAGGAAUAUUUAUGGUACUCUUUUGCAAAAGAGUUUAUUAGGACACACCAAAUAGGAAAAUCAGAAAUUGACUAGUAGUGCAUAGUCUUAUUAUUUUUGCAUAUUUUUAUUAGGACACACCAAAGAGGAAACUGGGGAUUGAUGACUAGUAAUAGUACUUGGUCUUAUUAUUCUUAUAUGUUCUUGUUUUAUUAUGCAUCCAAGAUAAUCUAUUAGGGUUUAAUUUCUUGGGAAUCACUAUCAGUAAUCCCAAUAGUUUCAUCUUCAGUUUCCUUGAUCAUCAUCUCAAGGUGCAUAUCAAUACCAAUAUUAGCAUACUCAGUUGGCAUUUUGUCCUAAUCUAGGGUUGGCUCCCAAUCA